rnacentral:lncRNA from 1 species
UUGGUAUGGCCAAAUCUCGACUGAGUGAUGGUAACUUUCUGGUCAGUCCUGACGUUGAUUGCUCUUGGGAUUUGUUCUACAGGGGAAGCAUCUAAUGAAUUAUCAUAUUGAAUCAAGAUAGUAGAAUCAUCAUCUUAGGUGCCAAACUGCCGCUGCUUCAGACUUACAGGUUGAACCGUUGAACCACUGGCAUCUUUAGAAGCUCUGGGAAUUGAUCCUCGGCUAGAACUGAUUGUUCAACUCGCAAUGAUUAAAGUAGUUAUGAUGUCAUAGCCUGGUAGAAAUAGAAAUGCAGGCAUUUGUUGGAUAGAAAGAGCCUGGAUCCACUUUUAUUUGCAGUCCAUAGCUGAUUUCAUCCCACAGUUGAUAGAAAGAGUAGGGUUAAUAUAUUAUUAUUUACAGAUGUUAAAAGGGGUUCAUGACCCUCUAAUGCAGUUCACAGGUGGAAUAUUCUUUUCCAAGUAUAGUAUAGCAAAAACAGAAAUUAUUUUUGCAAUGCGAUUUCCUAUCAUUACUCUCCCUUACAAAAUCCAAAACCAUUUAGCAAACUUAUGUUACAAUGUCGAUUAAUGAAAAAGCAAACAAAUGGCAUGAGAACAUCAGUAGCUAAACUAGUGAUAUCUCAUCACUGUGGACCUGGUCUCUUACAAAUAUCCAAGUUCAAUGGCAGCCGGAGGAAGAUGAACAUGGUAGAAUAAGAUAGAGAUCCAUAUUUUGAGCUCUAGUCCACUGGCACAACCAGCCAGUUGGGCACGUUAUCAACUUUUUUGGGCCUCUACCAUCAUUGGUCCACUGAAAGGUUUAACACCAUACAAAUUGUAACAGGAUCCACAGGUUGGGCACACUCCAUCUUCAAAGGUAGUCCAGCCACAGGUUGAGCAGACUUCUUCAUCUUCAAGGUUAGUCCCUGAAAAGCAGCAAAACAUGUCAGCCUCUCCUGAACUUUCUAAUCUUCAAUUAGUCGUGACAGAAUUGAUGAGAUAUGUAGUCACGCCUAAGCAGAGCCACAAUCCCCCACCCACAGAGACCAACAGAGAGAGAGAGAGAGAGAGAGAGAGAGAGAGCUGUAAAAACACAUGUACUGAAUCUAGAAACCAGGUACAUGGCAGCAACUGCAAUUGUUUGCAUGACUUUAACCAGGUUAGAUUAGAUAUCAUUUAAAUGUUCUACUAUACAGCUAAUAUUCUCUACUCAACAUCAUUCAAAUGUUAUAAAAUAGAGCAACUGUCCUCCAAAAUAUUCAUGACUUCUUGUUAAAUUCUGUGUUUCACCAGUAACUCAAAAAUUUCCAUUCAGAAACGUUUCCAAGAAUUAACACCUGAAAGAUAUGCCUGUCGGAACAAGUACUAUGAAUCAGAAAGUUUCACUAGAUCCUAAUAAGAAAGUCAAUUAGCAUCACAAGAAGAAAACUUCAUUAGUUGCAGGAAGUUGUAUUAACCUAGCUACUAUCAAAAAUUUCUAGUUGCAGAAUUUUAUCAUUUAUAACAAGUUUUCCCAAUCUAUAAGUUUGGUAAGAGGCUGUUGAUUGAAAUAGAACAGAAUUUAGUUGGGAAAAUUCUCCUAUCAUUGGGAUCCCUUUUGAAAUACAAAGAAGGGAGUCAGUGAAGUAUCGGUAUGAUUUAAAAUGUAUUAUUCAUAUAAUGAUGUAUUACUCCAUUUAAAUCCAAUGAAAUUCGAAAUGAAGUUAUUUUGAUUUUCAUUUAAAUUAAAUAGUUCAAAAUAUGUUAUAGAACGAUCUAUUAAACAAUUUAUACAAUUUGAUUAAUUAGUAAUACUCUUAGAGUCUAGAACGAUCUAUUAAACAAUUUAUACAAUUUGAUUAAUUAGUAAUACUCUUAGAGUCUAGAACGAUCUAUUAAACAAUUUAUACAAUUUGAUUAAUUAGUAAUACUCUUAGAGUCUACUUCUUCCCCACACUACGAAUGAAAGGGAAAAUGUAAAGGCUACCAUUAAAGCAACAACCCAAGCGAGACUUGGCACACCAUGUGAAUUAUGUCCCCUUAUCUCCAUAAAUAUGAAGGAAUUAGUCCUCAAUAAUAAAUAAUAAAAGUAUAGUGGAAUCAAUCGCGCGGAGUGAAUAAAAAAAGAUUCUAACCAAACACUAUUGAUAAUCCCCUUAAAAUAGUUCCUUGAAUCCUAUCCUAGAUUCAAGAAUUUACAAUCUUUAAAAAAAAAUCCACUUCAAAAAACACCACUUGAAUACUUUGAAUCAAACAAGCAUUAACAAAUACACUCUUCCUCUGCUUUGAAUGGAAAAUAAUUCGGUAAGUUAUAUUAGUAGAACAGAAGAAAAGAUUUCAAGUUUUUUGUUGAUCCGGUGACACACCGAUUUGAAAUAGGGAGAGGGUUUUGCAACCCUUGUCUUACAACUGGGCCAUGUCGCCCAAAUGAUACAAAUUUGGUGAAAUUUGUCCUAUAUUACAUAACUAUUUUGUCUUUUUAUUUCUAUUGUUCUUGUAUCUUGACUUCUAUUUUUCUUAAUACUUUUCUUUCCUAAAAUAAAUUUUUAUUUCAAUUGGAGUUGAUCCGUCCUUAUCUUGUCCAUUAUAUAGUAUCUCAAAAUGGUCAACUUCUCCACUUUCUCUUAUAAAUCAAUGUAGAUUUUCAUUUGCAAAAAUAAAAAUUUAGGACAAAUUUGAACCAUUAACUAUUGACUACUGACUGCAUAUUCAUGAAUGGUUUGGAUCUCAAAAUUUGACAUUUUCUUUUUUGUGUCUAAUGACACAAAAAGAAAACAAAUUGAUACAUCAAUAUUGAGUUAAAAAUCUCUCUCCAUCUCAAUUGUAAUAACAAUUAUGAAUAUCCGUAAACCUCCGAGCAAAAACUGUUACACAUAUGUCUAUUAUCUUAUUUAGAUAUGUUAAAUCUUGGCUAGAAGGAAUUUCAGAAAAUUUUCAUGUCUCCAUUUUAUUUUGAAUUGAACAAAAAAUGAAAAUUUUCUAUUUUAAUAGAGCACAACCCACUUUGUGUUGCCUCUCCAAAAAAGGAAUGGCAAUACAAUAAAAAAGAGGGAUAUUAAUAUCUGCAUACAUGUUAAACAAGUAUAACUCCCCUUAUCUUUAUAUGAGAAAUUUCACGUAUGUAAUAUCAUAAUAAUGGUAGAAAUUGAAUCAUUUUUUUAUUUUGACAUUCCAUACAAAUUUCGAUAAUUUAGUAAGUAUAAAGUUUAAGUUUUAAGUGACAAAAUUUUUCCUAAGUAUGUUUUAUAAAUUCCCUUCCAUUUGUAUCCCUUACAAAUUUCAGUAAAAAAAAGCCAAAUUUAAAUUUAAGCAAAAAACUAUUUUUAUUUCUAUGUCCAUAUGUUUGUCAUAUGACGUGCGCUGGGCAUACAUAUACAAUUUGACUCAUUCACAAUCAAGUUUUAUAUUUAUAAAUCCUAAAUACCCCACAAGCGAUUUUUCUCAAGUAUACGAAUCGUUUAUUGAGCAUAGGAGUAUUAGGUAUCGAUCUCACAGGGAAAAUUUCAAUUACCGGUACUUUUCGAAUUCCUUUAUUUUCUAGACUACCAUAAACAUAAAUGUAAUGAAAAUAACACUAGAAAGCUCCUAAAGAUAUGAAAUUCCUUAUUACUCUUGCAAAUGAGAUUACCGGUUAAGUGAAUGCUAUUAUCUUGGAUAGUUAUGGCGUAAUUUCCUAAUAUACGUGAAACCUACACUGUAGUGAAUCACCUAUACUUGUAGCUAAACCAUACCUACUAUCGUGGUUAUGAAAUUAACUACAAGUUCAUUUCUUCUAUGAAAUUAUAUGAAACAAGUCACUAAAAUCACAUAGGUGCUCCUCUACUCUCGUGAGUGAACUCCCUAGGUUUAUCACUUUCUUAAACUAGUGUUAAAUUUCAAUUCUCAUUGCAACCUUAACACCUUUAGAUGAUCACAAUUAAUGGCCGGUUAAUCAUGAUUAGAAAAGCAAAAGUGAUAAAUAACUUGUUCAAAAUAAUAUCAUCAUAUAACCAAAUAAAUAUCACAAACAAGAUAUAACAAGUUCAAUCAUACUCUACGCAUAAACUUUAGAAACACAUAUUUAAAUACAAAUCCAAAUCUUGCAUUAACAAAACUUAGAGUUCAAUACAAAGAUAAAGAUGUGGAAAGAAGAAAACCCUUGUCACUAGAGCGUCUUGAGCCUCUCAUUCUUCAUCUCCCUUGGCCUCCUUGUUGAGUCAAUACAAGAAUGAAUAACACACAUAACUACCUAAACUAUUCCAUACUAUACUAACCUAACAAAUGAACUAAAGAAAUUCUAGUGAAAACUACAUUUUUGGUGGAGUUUCUCUAGCCUUCCAAAGAUGUGAAAAUGUUCUCCAAAGGCCUCUAUUUAUAGAGAAUUCAAGAGCCAAAUGAGUUGUUUCUAGUUGUUAUUUUUUACUUUUGAAAAUUCUAUGAGUUGUCUUUCUAACUUUCCAACCUGUUCUUGAUCAAAUACAGCCGAGAUUGAUAGCUGGAAUUGAGAUGGAAAAAUUGUGUGAAAGCAGGACAAGUUGAUGAGCAAGUUAUAGCAAUCAGGUGGGAAUACGCGACUACAAGCCACGUGUUCAUGAAGUCGCAUUUUCACUUCUAUACAUUUGAUAUCAUUUCAACACUAUUUUCUCAAUGAUGGAGGCAGAACUAGCUCAUGUGAAAAACAUUAAAGUUGCAGUCCUUUGAGUUAGCUUUCCAAUGCUUCAAGAAUCAUCUAAUUAGGACCUCUGUAGACCGAGAUAUGACCAAAUUACCAUCGACUAGUCAAAGCUCUAUUUCAGCUUUCGACCACGGAAUUUCACUUCUGUAUUUCGACAUUUUGACAAGGAAAAAGACUGAACUGGACUUUGAUGUCUUCAUACCAAAUGUAGAUAUAUCUUUUAGCUUCAAAAUGAUUCAAGAAUCUCCUCAAUCUGAUGCUUAUAACUGAAGAUAUUGCCAAAAUACCAUAAUAUGUCAAAGCUGUGGAACUGCUUCCUUUUAUUCUUGAUUGCAUUUCCUCUUUUGCACUUCAUAUUCUCUUUUUAUCAUUUUAAACCAUAUUCAAUCAUCCAAUUAUCUUCUCAAGUCACUCCAUUUGAUGAUUGAAUUUUUAAACCUACAAAAACACGAAGUUUUGACCCUUAAAAUCCAUAGAAAUACAAUUUUCACGCUUUAAACUAUAAAAUGCAUAUUUUCACUAUAAACCUAGUUCAUUACCUAUAAAACUAAAUAAAACACAUCGAAACUAAUUAAUAAAACACAUUAAAAAUACGUGAAAUAUAUAUUUAUCAUCAUAUAUUCUAUUCUAGAUAUGGAGUUGGGUAAAAUUUCAUGCAAUUCAAUAAAUAAAAUAUAAAUUCCAUCAUUGCUAGAUCAUCUAUACAAUUCGGUAAAGAAUGAACUAACAGUGGGAUUUUUUGAUAAAUAGGAAAUUAAAAUUCUCGGGGUUGGAAAUAAGGGAAAUUGCUACAACACAUUGAUUUAAUGAGAUUAUGAUCCUAGUAUGAUGCUAGAGUUUAUAAAACUACUGUUAAAAUACUAGAAUUUUGUAGAUUUAAGUACAUAUUAAAUGAUUUAGGAUUAAUAUUUUACACACUAAUGCUAUAUACACUAUUAGCCUUUGUUUGAUGACAACUAUCCAACAUUUGAAUUUAAAAUUUAACUUUUAUACAUGUGUCAUAAUCCAACGGUAAUAGCAUAUAUAUGGUUAGCAUAUAUAAGAUUACCCUAUGAAAUAAGAGACGUCUUAAUAAUGUGCAAUAUCUUAUAAUUCACAAAUUUAGACCAAUGAUAUUUAGCUUUUAAUAUUUAGCCCAAAAAUAUAGUAAAUUCUAUAAUCACUUGAACCUUUUUUCAAUGAGCAUAUAAUGCUAGAAAUUACACAUUUUAGUAGAAGAACAAUUUGUAUUUACAAUUUCAUUUUUAUUUACAAAUAUUUUCAUGGACGAUAAGCUUAUAAAUUAAAAAAAAUGUUGAUUUUUUUUUUUGCAAUUUUUAGCAAGAUCCUAUGAUUCUACGAUCCUACCUACAAUUUGAUGACAUGACUUCUGAAAUGAUCUGAGGUAGAAUCCAAGAUCUAGAAAUAUCCUAACAACAGUAGUAUUGUACCUCAUCUAAUUAAUUACUAAUUACUAAUUAGUCUAACUAAUCGUAAAAUUUCCAACUAGAUUUUGAUUUUCAUCACAGUAAUCAGGUUUUAAGCUAGUGAGUCCCGAUGGCCCUACAUACCUGCCUCAUUAUGUUGUCAAAAAACAUUACGUAUUAACAAUUCAAUAGUGUAUUAUAUGGGCAGCUAAUUGUGUAAAAUAUAGCAUGUGAUAAUGGUCAAAUUUGUUUGACGAAAAGAUAAUGGUCACAAUCGACCGGGUGACAUAUAUAUAUAUAUAGUGUUGUAAAAGAUAAUGCGGUGAGUAUUUGAUGUGAUUUUUUUAAGGGGAAUGAAAUUUGAAUCUUAAAUCGUAUUAUAAAGAGCAAUGUUUGAGUAUGCAUUUUCAACGGCAAAUUACAUGUAAACUAGGUGUAUUACCACUCUUGGUUAGGAAAAUUCUUUUGCCGGAGGGAAAGUUGAAUUUGAAAAGUGUCUAAAUGUGUCCAAAAAAUGAAAAAUAGUAAAAACAUAAGUAUGGGCAUUCGUAUGAUAAUUUUUGUUUGCUGGUUUUGUCCACUCUUUGAGACUCAGAGGGCGAAUAAUAUAUACAAACCAUUGAACUCUAAUUUUUUUCCUUUCUUUUGUAACUGUUAUUUGAAACGGGGAACAAAAGUCAUUUUGAUAUAUUCUAAUCUACUUUAUCAAGUACUCAAACAACAUGUAUGGAACCUAUAAUCAAUUAUGAUGAUUAUACAAAUAAUAGAAAAUACUUUAGCAAAUUUGAUUAUAGCAAAUUAGAUAACAUAGUUAAAUUUUGGCCACAUCAAAGGCAAAAAAAUGAUUUUAUGACACAAUACACAAAUCUUAGCUUGAUUAAUUCAAUCGAUUCUACUGUCUAGUCCAAUUGUAUUUUAAUUAUUCUACUUCUAAAAUAUUUUCAUGAAUCAAUGAAGAUUUGGAAAUCAAAUGAUAAUGAGAAAAAACGAAAGAAUGUAAAUAAAAUUGUAAAUAAAAUUACUUAAAAAAUGUAAUUUUUUUUAUUUAAGGGAUAGAUACCUCUUGUUGACAUGAACAUACAAACUACACGAAAUUACAAGUGGAAUGUCUUGUCACAUUAAGUUAUGAUUCUUUGUUACUUAUUAAGUGUCUUAUAGUCAGUAUGUAUGCAAAGUUGCAAAUAAGACAUCCUUUGCUGCUUAACCUGAAAAAAGGACCCGAAAUAGUGGUAGACUACCAGUGAGGGAUAAACAUGUAAAAUAAAAAAAAUGAUGUUCAUUUGUCAUCAAAUAUUAGACAAUUCUUGGGUAACUCUCCCAUAUAAACAUCCAAUCGCAAGCCUCUACUAGUACUACUACUGCUUACUUAAUAGCUUCUUUCCCGUUAUAUUCCUUCUAUCUCGCCACACUAUCAUCACCAUAUACUCAGGUUCUUUCACUAUUCUAAUCUCAUAGCUGGUUUCGAUUAAAAAUCAUUCUUUGAAAAGCUCAACUCCACUGCUGGCAGGAAGCUAUUUACUAAAAGUUUCAAACCCAAGGAGCUAUGGUGGUUUCCGAUUGUCCUUUUCCCUGCGUUUGCUAUCUUUUUUUUCUCUUACACUGAUCUUGGUGAGCAGCAUCCCAUGACGGAGAAUCUCGUCUCCUUGGGUUCGGAUGUCGCCGUCCUAAUUUCUGAGUGCUAGAUCAUCUAUACAAUUUGGUGAAGAAUGAACUAAGAGUGAAAUUUUUUGAUAAAUAGAAAAUUAAAAAUGCUCAGGGUUGGAAAAAUGGAAAAUUGCUACAACACAUUGAUUUAAUGAGAUUAUGAUCCUAGUAUGAUGCUAGAAUUUAUAAAACUACUGUUAAAAUACUAUAAUUUUGUAGAUUUAAGUACAUAUUAUAUGAAUUAGAAUUAAUAGUUUACACACUAAUGCUGUAUACACUAUUAGCCUUUGUUGGAUGACAACUAUCCAACAUUUGAAUUUAAAAUUUAACUUUUAUACAUGUGUUAUAAUCCAACGGUAAUAGCAUAUAUAUAUGGUUAGCAUAUAUAAGAUUAACCUAUGAAAUAAGAGACGUCUUAAUAAUGUACAAUAUCUUAUAUUUCACAAAUUUAGACCAAUGAUAUUUAGCUUUUAAUAUUUAGCCCAAAAAUAUAGUAAAUUCUAGAAUCACUUGAACCUUUUUUGAAUGAGCAUAUAAUGCUAGAAAUUACACAUUUUAGUAGAAGAACUUGUUUGUAGUUACAAUUUCAUUUUUAUUUACAAAUAUUUUCAUGGACGAUAAGCUUAUGAAUUAAAAAAAAUGUUGAUUUUUUUUGCAAUUUUUAGUAAGAUCAAAUGUGGAUUUUCAAAUCGUAAAAAUAAAAAUUUAGGACAAAUUUGAACCAUUAACUAUUGACUACUGACUGCAAAUUCAUGAAUGAUUUGGAUCUCAAAAUUUGACAUUUUAUUUGGACCAUUAACUAUAGGCUUUGUUCUUAGAGUAUUUUCAGUAUGUCGAUGUAUAUGAAGAUUAUAUGGUGGAUUGUGAUAAUCAUGGUAAACCUGCUUAGGGAAUUAUAACAUCAUACUGGUGGAAAAAUCUAGUACUCGAAGUGUAGGUCAAUGUGAUUUUCAAAACUUAUCAUUUUAUAGUUUUUCCCAGAACUUAAAUGUGGUGCUGAAAUCCAUUUUCUUAUUUGUUUCAGUAAACAGUGAAACAUCCUGGUUCUUUGUUGGCGUGAUGGCAACAGCCAUGGAAGUUGUUAGUGUCGCUGGACUUUUAAUGUUGAAGGGGAAAUAUACAGGGUUUAUAGGGUUCAUCUUUGUCAUCUGUGCCUAAUGUUAUUUUGGUUUGCUUCUCAACUGCUUUGUCAUUCAUCGCCAUGUGUCCCAGAAGUGUUUAGGAAACCUUGGAAAAUUGAUGGUUGAUCUGAUUUCAACAUCUGCUACCAUGGCAUUAUGUCAAAUUGUGGGAUUUGAUAUCUCUUUCCUGCUUCUUUUGGUAGGAUUUACUGCAAAUCUUCAUGUAGUUGCACAAUCCUUGCAUAGAGCUUAUAAUGUUGGCAAAUGGGAUGUGAUGUUGGGAUCAAUAAUGCAAACUGUGGUUUACACAAUGUGGCAAAACAAAUAUAUGGUAACUGUAGUCCUUAUGUUGUGUAGUGGUGUUACUUUCUAUCGGUAUGCAUCAUAUUCUCCUCCUGUCAUGCCAGUUGAUAUGAAGCAGUCGGAGAAGCAGUUAUGUUAGUCCAAGGCUCUUUGGGAUAGAUUUAGCUAUGUUAGUCCAAGGCUCUUUGGGAUAGAUUUGUGUUAUUACAUUAAGCAGUUGGAGAAGCAGCAAUGUUAUUUAAGGCUCUUUCGGAUAGAUUUGAUCCAGUGACACUCGGAUUUGAACAAGGGAGAAGGGUUUUGCAACCCCUAUCUUACCACUAGGCCAUGUCGUCCAUAUGAUACCCUAUAUUAACUGUUUUUUUUUAUUUCUAAGUACUUGUAUCUUGACUUUUGUUUUUCUUAAUUCUUUUCUUUCCUAAAAGAAAUUUUUAUUUCAAUUGGAGUUGAUCCGUCCUUAUCUUGUCCAUUAUAUAGUAUCUCAAAAUGGUCAACUUCUCCCACUUUCUCUUAUAAAUCAAAUGUAGAUUUUCAUUUGCAAAAAUAAAAAUUUAGGACAAAUUUGAACCAUUAACUAUUGACUACUGACUGCAUAUUCAUGAAUGGUUUGGAUCUCAAAAUUUGACAUUUUCUUUUUUGUGUCUAAUGACACAAAAAGAAAAUCCAAAUUGAUACAUCAAUAUUGAGUUAAAAAUCUCUCUCCAUCUCAAUUGUAACAACAAUUAUGAAUAUCUGUAAACCUCUAAGCAAAAAUUGUUAUACAAAUGUCUAUUAUCUUAUUUAGAUACGUUAAAUCUUGGCUAGAAGAAAUUUUAGAAAAUUUUUAUAUCUCCAUUUUAUUUUGAAUUAAACAAAAAAUGAAAAUUUUCUAUUUUAAUAGAGCACAACCCAUCUUGUGUUGCCUCUCCAAAAACAGAAUGGCAAUACAAUAAAAAAAGGGGAUAUUAAUAUCCGCAAACAUGUUUAAUAAGUAUAACUCCCCUUAUAUUUACAUUAGAAAUUUCGCAUAUGUAAUAUCAUAAUAAUGGUAGAAAUUGAAUCAUUUUUUUUAUUUUGAUAUUCUCUAUAAAUUUCUAUAACUUAAUAAGUUUAAAGUUUAAGUUUUAAGUGGCAGAAUUUUUCCUAGGAUUGUUUUAUAAAUUCCCUUCCAUUUGUAUCCCUUACAAAUUUUAGUGAAAAAAAAGUCAAAUUUAAAUUUAAGCAGAAAACUUUUUUUUUUUUUUCUAUGUCCAUAUGUCUAUCAUAUAUUCUAUUCCAAAUAUAGAGUUGGGUAAAAUUUCAUGUGAUUUAAUAAACAAAAUAUGAAUUCCAUCUUUGCUAGAUCAUCUAUACAACUCGGUGAAGAGUGAACUAACAGUGGGAUUUCUUGAUAAAUAAGAAAUUAAAAAUGCCCGAGGAUGGAAAUUAGGGAAAUUGCUACAACACAUUGAUUUAAUGAGAUUAUGAUCCUAGUAUGAUGCUAGAGUUUAUAAAACUACUGUUAAAAUACUAGAAUUUUGUAGAUUUAAGUACAUAUUAUAUGAAUUAGGAUUAAUAGUUUACACACUAAUGCUGUAUACACUAUUAGCCUUUGUUGGAUGACAACUAUCUAACAUUUGAAUUUAAAAUUUAACUUUUAUACAUGUGUCAUAAUCCAACGGUAAUAGCAUAUAUAUGGUGAGCAUAUAUAAGAUUACCCUAUGAAAUAAGAGACGUCUUAAUAAUGUGCAAUAUCUUAUAUUUCACAAAUUUAGACCAAUGAUAUUUAGUUUUUAAUAUUUAGCCCAAAAAAUAUAGUAAAUUCUAGAAUUAUGUUCAAAUUUAUGCAUUUUAGCAGAAGAACUUUUUUUUAGUUACAAUUUUAUUUUUAUUUACAAAUACUCUUCUGCUAAAAAUAAAAUUUGUAAAUAAAAUUUGUAAACAUAAGCCUGGCAAACCCCAAACUGCUGGAAUAAUAAAUAUUACUACUAAAGGACUAAAACUUAACCGUACUACUAAGUAUUUACAAUACUACUAAUUCCCUAAAAACUGUUUGUAGGCCAUCAGACGGCAGUCCAUCAGUUAGUCUCACUCAUCAGCGAGACUCGUCAGCUGGAGGAGGAGGCGGUGAGGCAAAAAACUUCAGCAAAUAGCCCCUGCCAGCUUGCACCAACCCAACGAUCCCAACGAAUACCCAGAAAUUGAAGUUGUACCCAAAAUACAAGUUAGCUUGAGUAAUAGAGCAUCCACACCGAAACAGAAAAACGCCAAAGUCAGUUUUUUGCUCAAGUAAUCUCUCUCCGGCGACCAGUGCCGCCGCGUUGAAGUCGAAGAACAGAAUACUUGCUAAAGAUUUGACGUUUAAACCAGUGAUGCCAACUGUAGAAACGAAAAACACACAGUUCAGAACUGACCGAAAGCCUGGACCAAUUUUCAUAUCCAUCACCUUGAAUCCCUGGAUGCUCUUGUAAUACAACAGCAAACCAACUUCCCCGAUGAGUACCACUAGGGUAAAUACCAGAGUCAUUUUGUUCAUGGUAAGGCGGGCUACAUGGUUGAAGCUGAUGUGAUUGAAACAGGUUAAAGCUCCAACACUGCAUAUUACCAGCGGGAACCACCAGAGAUCCCUUGAAUCCUGGAAUGGUGUCUUUGAUCUAAGGGAUCGAUACAUGUUUCUGCCAGCAGUGCAUAUUUUUGCGAUAGAUCGAUUAAGGAUUCUGUUAGCCAUGUUUAGCUAACAAUGAAGAGAAGAGAAGCUGGGGAGUGAAGAGAGGCUGGGGAGAAGAGCGAAGAGUGAAGAGAUGCUGGGGGAGAAGCUGGAAUGAAGAUUGAAGAGUCUGGAUUUCUGUAUUAUAGUAACUGGAUUUAUAGCAGUAGGGUUUAUGGACAUGCGUCCUUAGGAAGUACUACAGUGCAAUUAUAACUGAGAAUUUUUGAAGUGGGCCCCGGUAAUCAAGGGUGCAACCCCAUCCAUCCAAAUGCUCUCGACCACCGAACCUGUCUGUCCAACAGACUUCACCUCCAACUUACACAGGGAGAGCAGUUCUCUCUACCUAACUCAUGAUUACGAUUAAAUAGCAUUGCCCUCUAAAACAAAAUCACUUAAAAUGCUCACCACGUUAUCGUUUACAGAAAAAAAAUAUAUAUAUAUGUGUGUGUGGUGUCACUCGAUUGUGACCUUUAUAUUUUUUUGUCGUAUAAAUUGACCAUUAUGACAUGCUAAAUAUUUUACACAGUUAAUGCCCAAAUAAUAAGUAUACUAUUGUUAUUGUGUAAUGUUGUUUAUGACAAUAUAAUCAGGUAAGUUAGAAUAAAACCUGAUUAUGUGGAGAAAUCAAAAUCUAAUUGGGGAUUUUACCAUUAAGUUAGAAUUAGAAUAAUUAGUAAUUCCCUGGGAUACCAAUCCUUUCCUGUUUCAUUGCUUAGGUGUCUACGUACGAGUCCAUAAAUAAUACUAGUGUGGCAAAGAUUGGGUACGAGGGUGGCUUUGGAUCAGAAAAGCUGAGCUGUAUAUAGGCCUGUGCAAUUCCUAAGAAUCAUAACAAGAGACAAAAUCCCUGCCCCAUUUCCUCAAGGGUGCUAACAACUACUUUCAAGGGAUGAUUGCAGAAGAUAUUUACUAUCAAAAAUAGAAAAAAGAUGUUGGUAAAUAAAAAGGUUAGACCGGGUAAAAAGUAAUGGGACCAAGAAAUAAGAUGAUAAACUUUCAAAUGGAAAAAAAAAGAUGAUAAAACUUUCUCAUUGACGUUACCUGAGAAUGCUCACCUCAGACACUUUGUGGUGCCGAGGUGGCCUCACCCCGGCCGUCACCUAAGUAGCCAUAUCCUGAACAUGACCCCUGUGUUUGGCCAUAUCUUGACUCGCAGCAUGAGUGACCUCGGCACCUCGGUUUCCCACUCCGGCUGCACGCCGAUGAUGUCAACACUACUGACAUCACACAAAACCAGUGCUUUAUCUGAAAAGCAACUGAUGUCUUAAUGGUACUACGCAAGGCUCCCCGUCAUCAUGUCCAGGCGGCUACAGUGUCAGAGUCAGACAUCCUGGCAGGGAACAGAGCCGUAAUGACCAGGACACGGGUCCCGCUGGCAUGAGCCCUCUGUCCGCAGCGACUCCAACAUGUAGUAUGCCAAGUUCUUAGUGAAUAUGAAGUUAAGGAUGAGACCAUGCAACGUAUUUCUCCAAAGUUCACCAACUCACGGCGUAUUCAAGUCUUUCGAAAUCCAAAGAACACCCGGUCAGAAAAGGCGGGCGACGCCUUAUCCCGGUGGCUUACAAAUCAUUUUCUGACCUUAACAAGACGGUCUAGUGAAGUGUUGAACGAGUCGGGAUAUAUGGAAGGGGUGGCCUGCCCCGUACACCCGGGAGACACAUGGAUGAGCCCAUUCAUCCUCUUCUUAGGCCAAGGAUCCUUCCAGAGGACCGAGCCAAAGCGAGAUGGGUCCAACGCAAAGCCCCUCGGUACGUGCUCCGCGAUGGAGAGUUAUACAAACGACCUAUCUUGGCCCAUGGCUGAGGUACAUUACACCCGAUGAGGACACCAAGUCCUCCGUGAGAUACUCGAAGGCUUAUAUGGGGCUCACAUCGGCCAUAGGAUGUUGGCCAAGAAGACCCUAUUUCUCGGGUAUUUCUGGCCUUCCGUUCGACAAGAUGCCAAAACCUUGUCCUCGAUGGCCCUUCCUGUCAGGCCCAUGCCCCGAGCACCACCAGCCCUAAAAUCUUAUUGUUCCAAUCAUCUCACCCUGGCCAUUCGAGCAAUAGGGGACAGAUAUCAUCGGUCCUUUUCUUAAGACUGUAGCAGGGUAUGUCUUCCUUGUGACCGCCGUGGACUACUUCACUAAGUGGGUCGAGAUCGAGCCUCUGAGGACCAUCACAGGGCUGGCGGUUCAAAAAUUCUUUUGAAAAUGCAUCAUUUGCCGCUUCAGCAUACCUCAGGUCAUCAUUUUAGACAAUGGGAGGCAGUUCGCCGAGAACCCGUUAAAGACUUGGUGCGAGAAUCUCGGCGUCAAGCAACACUUCACUUCGGUAGGCCAUUCCCAGGCCAACGGUCAGGUAGAAAAUUUCAACCGAACUCACGCAUGUCCUCAAGACUCGACUCCACCGAGCUGGAUCAUCGUGGGUAGAGGAACUCCCCAGUGUCCUAUGGUCUUAUCAGACCAUGCCGAGGUCAACCACACAAGAGACCCCUUUCUCCUUGACCUACGGAACCGAAGCGGUCUUCCCGGCUGAAAUCCUCACACCCAGUCCCCGGUUGGCAGCUUAUGUAGCCGAGAUGAAUGAGGAAGAGAGACAACUGGAUCUCGACCUCGUCGACGAAAAAAGGGACGUCGCCUCAGCACGGGUAGCUUCCUACAAGAACACCCUGGCCCGCUACUACAAUGCCCGUCAAACCCUGUCGGUUCUAACCAGGAGACUUGGUCCUCAAAAAAAACUCAGUCAGCUGAGCUGAACGGCAAGAAAAAUUAUGCCCAAAUAGAAAGGCCCUUAACGGUGUGUGAAUCUAACCUUAGUGGGCAUUGUAAACUAAGCUACCGAGAUGGUUCUCUAGUGCCGAGAACUUGGCACGCUGAGAACCUUAGAUUGUAUUAUAUUUGAAAUUUUAACAAGUUGUGACUUCAGAAAUUUCGUUAUUUUUUAAUACCUUGAUACCAUACAUCCGUAUUAAAAAAUGAGGGGGACAAGCAGGGGACGAAACGAGAAAGUAAAAGAACCAAGAUGAGAAGGAUUCCAUCUAGUGAAAAGAGCAUUACAAAAAAAAGAAUACAAGAACCGAGAUCAAGAGUGCUACUAAGCACCUCCCGCCUCGGCAUUUCCCUCAAUACCCACGAGCCUAGACCCCUGUCUCGGACUCCCUCCUGGCCGGUUUCCUUGCCGGUCUCUUCCCCACCGGGAUGAGACUCCUCUCCUCCCUCGUGCUUCUUGCCGGUCUCUUCCCCGCUAAAGUAGCCUCUUCUCCUCCCCUCCUCCUCGAACACCUCGUUGAGCUCGAACAACCACUUGUUGAACUCGUCCGGACCUCGGUCAGGUUUGUCUAGCUUGAUGCCCUCGGCCAUCCGAUCACACAGUUUCUUGGAGUCCUCGUUGUAGUUGCUCAAGUAAUCUCUCUCCGGCAACAGUGCCGCCGCGCUGAAUCGGAAGAACAGAAUACUUGCUAAAGAUUUGAUGUUUAAACCAGUGAUGCCAACUGUAGAAACGAAAAACACACGGUUCAGAACUGACCGAAAGUCUGGACCGAUUUCCAUAUCCAUCACCUUGAAGCCUGGAUGCUCUUGUAAUACAACAACAAGCCAACUUCCCCGAUGAGUACCACUAGGGCAAAUACCAGAGUCAUUUUGUUCAUGGUAGGGCGGGCUACAUGGUUGAAGCUGAUUUGAUUGAAACAGGCUAAAGCUCCAAUACUGCAUAUUACCAGCGAGAACCAUCAGAGAUCCCUUGAAUCCUGGAAUGGUGUCUUUGAUCUAAGGGAUCGAUACAUGUUUCUGCCAGCAGUGCAUAUUUUUGCGAUAGAUCGAUUAAGGAUUCUAUUAGCCAUGUUUAGCUAACAACGAAGAGAAGAGAAGCCGGGGAGUGAAGAGAGCUGGGAAGAAAAGCAAAGAGUGAAGAGAGGCUGGAGAGAAGAGCGAAGAGUGAAGAGAUGCUGGGGAAGAAGCUGGAAUGAAGAUUGAAGAGUCUGGAUUUCUGUAUUAUAGUAGCUGUUUAUAGCAGUAGGGUUUAUGGACAUGCGUCCUUAGGAAGUACUACAGUGCAAUUAUAACUGAGAAUUUUUGAAGUGGGCCCCGUAAUCAGAGGGUGCAACCCCAUCCAUCCAAAUGCUCUCGACCACCGAACCUGUCAGUCCAACAGACUUCACUCCACCUUACACAGGGAGAGCAGUCCUCUCUACCUAGCUCAUGAUUACGAUUAAAUAACAUUGCCCUCUAAAAAAAAUCACUUAAAAUGCUCACACGUUAUCGUUUACAGCAAAAUAUAUAUAUGUGUGUUGUGUCACUCGAUUUGACUUUAUAUUUUUUUUGUCGUAUAAAUUGACCAUUAUGACAUGCUAAAUAUUUUACAUAGUUAACUGCCCAAAUAAUAACUAUACUAUUGUUACUGUGUAAUGUUGUUUAUGACAAUAUAAUCGGGUAAGUUAGAAUAAAACCUGAUUACUGUGGAGGAAAUCAAAAUCUAAUUGGGGAUUUUACCAUUAAGUUAGAACUUAGAAUAAUUAGUAAUUCCCGGGAUACCAAUCCUUUCUGUUUCAUUGCUUAGGUGUCUACGUACGAGUCCAUAAAUAAUACUAGUGUGGCAAAGAUUGAGUACGGGAGGGUUGCUUUGGAUCAGGAAAGCGGCUGAAGCUGUAUAUAGGCCUGUGCAAUUCCUAAGAAUCCUAACAAGAGACAAAAUCCCUGCCCCAUUUCCUCAAGGGUGCUAACAACUACUUUCAAGGGAUGAUUGCUGAAGAUAUUUACUAUCAAAAAUAGAAAAGAGAUGUUGGUAAAUAAAAAGGUUAGACCGGGUAAAAAGUAAUGGGACCAAGAAAUAAGAUGAUAAACUUUCAAAUGGAAAAAAAAAGAUGAUAAAACUUUCUCAUUGACGUUACCUGAGGAUGCUCACCUCAGACACUUCGUGGUGCUGAGGUGGCCUCACCCGGCCGUCACCUAAGCGUAGCCAUAUCCUGAACAUGACCCCUGUGUUUGGCCAGAUCUCUGACUCGCAGCAUGAGUGACCUCGGCACCUCGGUUUCCCACCCCGGCUGCACGCCGAUGAUGUCAACACUACUGACAUCACACAAAACCAGUGCUUUAUCUGAAAAGCAACUGAUGCUCUUAAUGGCUACUACGCAAGGCUCCCGUCAUCAUGUCCAGGCGGCUACAGUGUCAGAGUCAGACAUCCUGGCAGGGAACAGAGCCGUAAUGACCAGGACACGGGUCCCGCUGGCAUGAGCCCUCUGUCCUGUCAUCCACUCCUGCCCUAUAAAUACCCCCAUGAGCUCUCAACAAGUAAGGGAACUGUUCAUUCAUACACACUCUUGUUCCUCUCGUUCUUUCAAUAUACUGACUUGAUCGUCGGAGUGAUCACAGGGAGAAUCCCCACCAUUCGCUUCGGACAAACGAAUUCACCACAUUUCACCUGAGAGAGGAUCUAUUCAGGUCAGUUCAGCUAACCACCAAAAAUCCCCCCUUCAAUUGGCGCCAUCUGUGAGAACGAAAUUAUUGCUGAAAUGAGAUUCACGCGCUCCAGAAGUGGGAGAAUUCCUUCAACCGGGGCUGGGCAGGCCUCGGGAGCCCAGCAGGGUCACAUCUUGGAGGAACAAGGGUCUCCGAGGACCCAGUCCACCAACGAAGACGCCAUCGCCAACAUGGCCGAAAAGUGAAGGAGAAAUUUGGAAGACUAUUGCGCAGUAAAGUUUGUACUAGAAUUCAAGUACUACUUUUCCAUAUGAUGUUUGAUCAAUUAUAGGGUUUUAAUUACUGAAGCAAUUUUCAUUGACAUAUUAUGAAUUUGAAUCUUCAUUGGUAUGCUGUGUAAUUAGUUUGAGAAACUAUGAAUUCCCAAUUCUAUGAUUUGGAGAUUGGAUGAAUCUCUAGGUUGAGAUGGUAAAUCCAAUGUAUAUGGGAUGGUGGUAAUUGAGGGACUCUAUGGGGAAUCCUUCUUCUCGUAGGUUUUAGUUUUGUGGUACAUUUUCAUAAAACUGCACCAAACACCUGAAAAUAAAAGGAAAUGAAAAUUUUUUCAAGAAAAUUAUUUUCAUUGAAAAUGUUCUCCUCUGGAAAAAAUUUUACAUUGAAACAAACAAACUCUAAGUGAAGUUGCAUUUGAAAAUCAAGAAAGAAACUUGAAGGCAAUAUUUUGUCUCUAACUUAAAACUUUUAAUGUUGAAUAAGCGGGAAAAUAUUCGAAUAAGAAAAUGAUUUAUUAAUUAACAUUAACCUAGAAAUCAACGUAAUCUAAAAUUAAGAGACAAAAAACAAAAAAAGAUGAUUAUCAUUGUCAUAAAAUAUUACCCAUUUGUAUUGCUGAGAAGUUGCUCGGAAAUUAGUAAAGGCUACAGAUUCAGAAUUAUUUAUUUCCCAUCUCAUGAUUGACAACAACUAAAUAAUGCUUUAGGUAAAGAUGCUCACAAUUAGUCAAAUCUGCUAUUAACGUGUGAAAUAUAGUCUUGCAUUUACACUCUAAAAGUCCUUCAAAAUUAGUCAAAUGAGAUUCAUUUUUUUUUCCACUUUUUUAGGAAUUCGCUAAUAAAUAGUUAAAUGUACAAUAAACAAUCUCAAACUGAAAAUAAGAGCUGUCAUCUGGCAAGAUGUACCUUUUUUUUUUAAUAAUGGAAAAUUUUAUUUAUUUUUAAGAAAAUUUUGACAGAGUUUCCCCUUAUAAAUGGACGAAAACUCUUUGCCAACAAACACAAAUUGAAGAAAAAAAUCACAUGGCAAGAUGUACCUAUUUAGUCUAAGUUGGCAUUUUAUUUUGCCCUGCAUCUAGUCUUCGUACUAAUCUGUUAGUUAAAUUAAUUUUAAUUUAAUUUUAAAAAUUUGUACUAAUUUGUACAUUUAACUAAUUUAAUAUGGGCUUGUGCGUGCACACAAUAUGUAAAUCACAUUAAAAAAAAUUGAGUUAACAAACUAACAAAAUCAGUGAUAUAUUACCUCUUCUUCCCUUCUUUUUGGCGAGUAGUGUUCUCUUGGUACAACAUCUUGAUUAUAUGUUCCAUGAACUUCAUCCAUACAAGCUAACCAAGCGUUUUCUACCUUGUGACAAAUUUUGCUAACUACGACGAUUGAUAUAAAUGGUUUCAAUGUUUGUACGCAUUAAAAAGUUAGACCAAAACUGACAAGUCUCAAAUACAGAGUUUAAGCACCUGCUAGAAUCAACAAGUAAAUUACUAUUCAACCUAGCAACUUUAAAUUAAGUAUUUGUUAACUAAAAAAUGGAUUAAAUUGCUACAAAGCUGUAGUUAUGUCCCUUUUGUUUUAUUUUGUAGUUAUUAACUAAAAAUAUUUUAAGAUUCUUCAUCCGUCCAAGAAAUGGUUUUUUAAUCCUAUUUAUUUUUCAAUGACCUUUUCAGUUUUGUUCCAUUUUAAGUUAAUGGACGUGGACAGUGAAUAAAUCUAAAGAGUCAAUGAUAGUGAUUCUGAUAUAGCCUUUAAGAUUCAUAAAUGCAAUUAGUACAUUAUAUGCCCUUUGUCACUUUUUCAUCUUUAUGAAAUCAUUCAGUCUUACAAGUCAGUUGAAGAUAUAACUGCAGUAUAUUAUUGAUGUUUAUGUAUUCAUUUUUUACUUUAUACAUGGUAAAUUUGGUUUUGUGUCAGAUGAUAAUAGAUCUCUGAUUCAUUACAUAAUAUUACCAAUUGAUCAUUUCAAUUUAGAUGUCCAAAACUUUUCUUUCUUUUCAUAUCUGCUGUAAUGACAAUUCUUUUGUGCAUAUCUUGUUCUAUCCAAUAGAAGCAUGUUAUGGUCAUCGCUGGAGAGAAAUAAGAUAGAACUUCCUGAUAUCACUUCUGGAGUUUUGAAUGGAUUUGGACUUUUUCGUCUGUAGUGAUCAUCAAGCUAUAACAUCUAAUACCUGAUUUGUAUUACAAAUACACCAUAAAUUAGAAAUUUCCCUACUUCAAUAAGUAAUGUAUCAAAUUCUUCUUUUUAUUUUAACUUAUGACUGCCAUUAGUAGACAUAGAAAUUGGCGAGGCAUACAUCAUCCGUUACAUGUAUGGAUGUGACGAUGACCUAGAAGCACUUGAAAUAACAAGAUUUCUGUAGUUUUAGUGGUCAACGUUCUAUAAUGUUCAUUUCUCAACUCACUAAAACGUUAUUCUUCAUAUUUUGGUGUCUUGAGGUUCUUAUAUUAGCAUUGCUCAAUUUAAAUUGUAGGAUAAGUACGAUAAGAUUUGAGAGUGGAGAUUCAACAAAAGAUUUUAUGAUGACAUAUAGCGCCCAAGAAACCAUCCGCGCCCUUUAGUUGGUAUGCGAAAUAGUUAGGUAUGUUUUCUUAUCCAUGUGAAUACUUAAUCUUGUUAGAUGGUCAUAGUACUUUAUUUCUGGGAGAAGUUUGACCUACUAUUUCAGUCUAAAAACUUUGGUUUAAAAUAAGUAUGAAAGAAUUCAUUUAGACAAGAAAGGUGACUACUCUAAGCAAAAUAAUAAAAACAAAAAUGGGUGGUCUUUUAGGUGGUAAUUAACAAUAAGAAAAACUAACUAAAAAGUUAACUUUCAAUAGAUAUAAUUGUACAUAAUACCCUCAUGACAUGCCAAAUGCUUGGGACAUGCUUCUUAGGAAGCUUUCCUUUUUAGAUCACUCAAAAUACAGUCACUACAAGAAAUAUAUUUUUCAGUGACAAAAAUUUAUGUGACAACAAAAAUCUUGUCACAGAUAACCUAAUUCAGUGACGACAUUAGGUGUCAUCACUGAUGAGUACAGCACAAGCAUAAUCAGUGACAACAUUGGAAGUUGUCAUUCUCAACUCGUCACGAAAUAGUUGGCGCGCAUCUCAUUUGAUGCGCGGGAAAUGAUUUUAUGACAACUCAAGUAAAGUCGUCACAAAUGCUCUCUCUACAGUGACAACAUAACUUGUUGUCAUUGAAGGUCUACCCGAUUCUAAUUUUGUGAUAACUUUUUGCAUCACUGUAUACUACAGUAUUUUCAUCAACUUUCACUAAUUCUACUAUGACACCCUAAUUUUAUUUUUUAGCCUCCAAUUCUUUUAUAUUAGCAAAAGCACCGAAGAUAUGACACCCUAAUUUUAUAAUUUAGCCCCUAUUCAUUACGUAUUAGCAAAAUGCAAAUGAUAUAAUAACAAACUAUUUUUAGAUAUUUGUAAUUUUUGCUAAGUUGACAUAAUAGACAUGUCUGAGCAUAAAAAUUUUUUCACAAAUUUUUUAUUAUUCCUUAUAACAACCCCCAAAAAUCAAUAACUGAAAUAAUUUGAAAAAGUGUAAUUGAAUAUAAUUUGUAGUCUAAUGUUAGCACUGUGAAAGAUUAGUAUAACGUGUAAUACAUCAUAAGUAAUAAUUAUUUUCAUAUGGAAUGGGUAUAUACGAAAUUAAAAUUAUUCAAUAAAAUAUCUGUCGUGCAAUAAGAUUGAGAGUUGUAACACAUUUAAUAGAAUAUUUGAUUACAUGUUUCUUUUAAUUUAUUAUAAAAACUAAGUAAUAGACAAAGGGUAGGAUAAGCAUGAGUAAGAAGUGCUAUACUGUAUAUAAGCAAUUCUAUAGUAUUUUCAUCAAAUUUCACUAAUUCUACUAUGGCACCCUAAUUUUAUUAUUUAGCCCCAAUUCUUUUAUAUGAGCAAAAGCACAGAAGAUAUGACACCUUAAUUUUAUAAUUUAGCCCCUAUUCAUUACGUAUUAGCAAAAUGCAAAUGAUAUAAUAACAAACUAUUUUUAGAUAUUUGUAAUUUUUGCUAAGUUGACGUAAUAGACAUGUCUGAGCAUAAAAAUUUAUUAUUCCUUAUCACAACCCCCAAAAAUCAAUAACUGAAAUAAUUUGAAAAAGUGUAAUUGAAUAUAAUUUGUAGUCUAAUGUUAGCACUGUGAAAGAUUAGUAACGUGUAAUACAUCAUAAGUAAUAAUUAUUUUCAUAUGGAAUGGGUAUAUACGAAAUUAAAAUUAUUCAAUAAAAUAUCUGUCGUGCAAUAAGAUUGAGAGUUGUAACACAUUUAACAGAAUAUUUGAUUACAUGUUUCUUUUAAUUUAUUAUAAAAACUAAGUAAUAGACAAAGGGUAGGAUAAGCAUGAGUAAGAAGUGCUAUACUGUAUAUAAGCAAUUCUAUAGUAUUUUCAUCAAAUUUCACUAAUUCUACUAUGGCACCCUAAUUUUAUUAUUUAGCCCCCAAUUCUUUUAUAUGAGCAAAAGCACAGAAGAUAUGACACCUUAAUUUUAUAAUUUAGCCCCUAUUCAUUACGUAUUAGCAAAAUGCAAAUGAUAUAAUAACAAACUAUUUUUAGAUAUUUGUAAUUUUUGCUAAGUUGACGUAAUAGACAUGUCUGAGCAUAAAAAUUUAUUAUUCCUUAUCACAACCCCCAAAAAUCAAUAACUGAAAUAAUUUGAAAAAGUGUAAUUGAAUAUAAUUUGUAGUCUAAUGUUAGCACUGUGAAAGAUUAGUAUAACGUGUAAUACAUCAUAAGUAAUAAUUAUUUUCAUAUGGAAUGGGUAUAUACGAAAUUAAAAUUAUUCAGUAAAAUAUCUGUUGUGCAAUAAGAUUGAGAGUUGCCACAUAAUUAACAGAAUAUUUGAUUACAUGUUUCUUUUAAUUUAUUAUAAAAACUAAGUAAUAGACAAAGAGUAGUAUAAGCAUGAGUAAGAAGUGCUAUACUGUAUAUAAGCGAUUCUAUGCAUGUUAAAUUUUUGAAAUAUGUUUUAUUGUGUAAGUUUUAUUGUAAGGUAAUUUCUUAAAUAAUUUGUAUAUUGAAUUGUCCAAACCCAAAAAGAUGUAUAUAGACACAAACAAGCACACAUAUAUAUACAUGCACAAAAAAGAAACCAAUAUCAAAUAAUUUAUUUGAUAUUUAUAGAUGAGAUUAAGGAAAAAAAAGAGAUUAAGUAUGAAAAAAGAAACCUGAAAAAAAAAUUGGCUAAAAAAAAAAAAAAAGAUGUAUGAAGCAAAAGGCGUGAAUCCUGGAAUCUCAAAGACGUGCUUAGAUGCCAAAAAAAAGAGCGCCGGUCUGAAAUCUGAAAGAGGCGCGAGGCGCGAGCGGAUGGCUGAAAUCUCUACAAAACGACGUCGUUUUGGUUGUUCACACACAAACAAAAGUCUCGCCGCUUCUCUCUUCCAACACUUAGACAAAUUUAGGCUAGGUUUUAGAGGAGAAAAAGAGAAACAGAAGAGCAGAGAAGCGGCUAGGGUUCUUGGAAGGGAGGCCUUGAGCGUGAAAAGAAAAAAAAUAGAGUGAAGGAAGGGUGGCGGCUGACGGGAAGAUCAGGAGAGAAAGACGCGGCAACGGACAGAGGAGGAAGAACCAGGUCACCACCAGUCCGCGUCCGCUCUGCAUGCUGUCUGCCAUCGCCAACACCGCGCACAACCUCCUGGGCUGCUGCCGUUCUCUGUAACACUAGAUGAAAGCUCUCGGACGAAGUCAGACCUAGUCAUCUUCCAAUUCCAACUCACCGUCUUCGGCUUCGUCAUAAUCGCCGUCGCCACCGCUCAAGUAAGAGCACUAUAAGUCGCCCCUUUUUCUUUGAAUUUCAGUUCCUUCCCAAGUCCUCUAAGCAUGUCUGCCAUGGCUUCGUUUAUUGCAAAGCCCCGUUGAUUGUUCAAAUUUUAGCAUGCGCAUGUUAUAUCAUGAUUGAAUUUGAAAUCCCUUGUACUUCUGAUGAUUUUGGGGCCAACCGUGGCUUCAUUUGAGCAAAGAGUUGCUGGAAUUUUUCAUGUUCGUUUACUGUUUGUUGAAAUGCCCAAGUGGUCUAACAGCAGGCUGUAACAGGGCAUUCGUUCAAUGCUCAUUGCUGCAUUUUAUCUUUCCCUAUCCCUGUCUCAAGUUUACGCAUUUGAGUCUGGUUGAUGAACUUGUAAAUCUGAUUAGCAUAUCAGGACUGCCUCUGAGUUUCGUGAUGUUUCUGCUACUUGGUUUUGUCUCAUUGCCUGGUUUGAUAUUCAAUCUGAUAAGGAAUCCGCAAUUGAAAAUGAAAAUUGCAGCUAGUGUUGUCGAAACCUUCAGUUUGCUGAAAUCUUCUUCCAUUUCUUUUGCAUGAAAGUCUCAUAAAAAACUUGUAUUCUCUUUAGUUUGAUAUUAGAAAAGUAUUUUGUACUAAAGGCUGAUGUGUCUAUAUCUAGGACAUGGAUAAAACUUGGAUGAAGAUUAGCAAUAGGAAGGACAAGGCUUAUGAACUCCGAGUCAAAAAUUUCCUCAAAUUUGCAUAUUCUCAAAAAGUUGAAAAUCAGAAAAUCUAUAUAUCUGGACUAGUUUCGAGCAUUUUCACGUCUGAGGUGGAAAUUACUUCAAUGAUAUUGAAAAACGAGUUCAAUCAUUUUAAGCAGGGAUAUCAUUUCCUUUUCUUCGUUUUAUGUCCAAGCACAAGAAUAUACAAGCAGAAGAAGAGUUUUUUUAUCCAAUAGCUAGUGAUAAAUAGAACAUGAAUCUACAAUUACUUUUUGUCACUGAAUAUCGUGAAUAUGCAAUCUUUUUUUUCUCAAAUUAAGCACUUUAUUUGUUCUGUUUUUAUCAGUUCUUAAUUAUUUAGAAGCUUGAUAUUUUCUCAGUUGGUGACAUAUUCUAACUUGUCUCUGUCCUAAGAUAAGAAUCUUACUUCCUGUCAAAUUGUGUCCCCAUUGCCAUUUUACGAUUUUAAUGAUCCUCUUAUGGGGGUAAAUUUUGGUUCCACCUGCUAAUUCAAUAGCUUGUAGGAGUUUUUUUCUAAUUAUAAAGUCUUUACACAGUUAGCAUAGAGGUAAAUUUACUUUGAUAUCUCUUGUAUAAUCACACACAUUCACUUUUCAGGCAUUAGGUACUUAGAAGCCAAACAAAUAUAUGACAUUCUCCUCAAGUCAACUCCAGAAAGCCGUAAUAUAUUUGGAAGGCUUUCAGGUGCUGCUGUAAGAUCCGCAAAGACAUCAUCAUCAUCUUCUUAAUCUCUACCUUCCUUCCUUCUCUCUGUGUGUUCGUGCUUGUGUAUGUGUACCUGGACGUGUUUGUCUGUCUUCUCAUCUGUGAGUGGUUACAUGUGUGUGCAUUUGUGUGCCUCAGGACAAUCUUUUUUUGUGACUGUGAAUGUGUUGCAUUUUGAACAGGGUGCUUGGGAGGCAAUUGUGCGUGCUUUUGAGAAGGAUUCAAUUUUCCUGGGAGAGGCUGCUCAGAUAAUGGUCCAAAAUGUUAAUUAUGAAAUGUAAGCUAGGUCAAAGUCAUACAUGAAGCAAGCAUAGAAUGUCUGAUUAGUUAUUUCUGUCUGCUUAUUUAUCCUUAUCUUUUCAACUUUUAGACCUUAUCAGAAGAAGCAGGUACAGAAGAUUCAGCAGCAACUUGUUGAACUGGAGCGGAAGGAAUCUGAGAUAAAAAGAAAUGCAGCCCUUUCAGCAACUAAAUAUGCAGAGGCUUGUCAGGAUCUGGGAUUGCAGGUUAUGCUUUAAUUUUUUUUGGCCACUAAUUAGUUAUUACAGUAUAUUUUUAUAAUAGUGGUCCAUAAAUGAGAAUAUUGUUCUGCUUUCCAGGGAGUAAAUGUGAGGUCAGAGCUGUUAGAAACUGCAAGUAAAACUCUUCCAAGCACAUUUAGCAGGAUACUAGAAGUAUUGAAUGGUGAUUCUGUGUCACUGGCUAUUGAAUUCUAUUCGGCCUUUGUCAGAGAUGCUCAUUCUGAACAGGAGGUAAGUGAGAGUAAACAGUGUCGGAAUCUGAACUUUCUGGGUAAAUAUAAAAGCAUGGUGGAGUAUGUUAGCACUGCAAAAUCAUGGUGAGAGAUGCCAAUUUUAUCAUCACGCAAGAAUUUUCCUCUCUACCUGUAGAAAAAUUUGGAAUUGAUUUUUAGUAUGUGUACUCCAUGAAAUGCCGCUAUCUCUUAGUAUUGUUGCUACCUGUCAAAUUUUUGUUUCAACUCUAGUUUGUGAAUUCUGAUUUUUCAUAAGCGCCUACUUUAUAUUGUGUCUUUGUUCGAAAUGUUUCUCAUUCUUGUAGAUGUACUGUUUACCAUGUAAAGAUAUAGGACAAUUGCUUUGUGUCCACUCAUUUUUCUUGUUAUGUAAGAGGACACUUUAUAUGACACAGGCCCUAAUUCAAUCAUACUCCAAAAAUCUAUAUAUCUGGGCCAAUUCCAACUUGACAGUGCAAGUUCCUAUGCUACUAUUUCUGUCGAAUCUUUUAAAUAUGUAUUAAAGGAAUGGUUAAAUUAUAGUCUACUUGGCAUUGUUGCUGCUUUUGAAUGGCAUUUUGACUGUCCAGGAUGUGGUCUUAUAAUACAAUUUGUUUAGCUUAUAUAAAAAGCGAGUUUUCCCUGCUUUAGAUUAGUUAUCUGCUAGUUUACAAGCACAGUUCCACCAAAAGAAAAGCAAUUUUGAUAAGAAAAAUAUCAUUAAUAUAAUCUUAAUGAUGAAGGACAAUUCUCUUUAAUCUAAAUGGGAGAGAGUAUGAAAUAAAAAGUUGUAGAUUCCUGUCGUCUUCUAGCGCAAUGAAAGGACUAACCAUGUCCGUAACACACCAGGGCUUUCAUGGAAUCUCAUUUGCCAGCAUUUAAAGAGAUCAAUCCCCAGCUGGAGGUGGUAACUGAGCUUAAUUGUGGUCAGCAUCCAUAUUUGAAGGGACUAUACCGUAAGAACAUUUUUACAAUCUUGACAAACCAGUUCUCUAGAAUUAAUGUUUCAUUCUUAGUCUAUGCCUUGAAUUUCACUUCGUUUCAAUCUCUCUACUUUUUGUAAUUUUAGCCCCUUAGACACAGAUCAAAAGGAUAUAUGGUUGCAAAGUUCAGUAAUAGAUUGAAAUAACAUGCAUGUCUUUGUAAAUGCACCUUCUGAGCUUUGUGUUCUGUUGAUCUCAUUGAUUAUGCCUAUCCAGCUGCAAAACUAAUGGAUGCACCUGGACAGAGGUUGUCCUGUUACUCCUGUACCUUACUACCAUGGAAACAUUUUUGUAUACUAAUUUACCCUGAGCUGCUGAUCAUGACACUGGCAGUCAAAGCACAUUGAGAUGUAAUAGAUGGGAUUGGUUUAGGUUCCUUUGUCCUGUCAUCUCUCAAAAUGCGUUAUAUUGCAUCUACUGCUCCAAGUGGAAGUGUAAUUUAUCUACAAAUAUUUUUAGCAUAGCUAUUUCAUCUCUUAAUUGCUAAAGACAGUCAAAGUUAUUAUAUGUGGCAUAUGUACACUUUGCUUGUUCUGCACUUCAAUAUGUCUUGAAGGUAAGAGCAGUUGCCUUCUACUUGAAACAUAACUUUGUGGCUCUCAGGCGGGAGUAUGCCUUUGUGGCUUCUUGAAACAUAACUUUGCGGCUAGUUGAAAUAUUUUUCCUUUUAAAUUAAUUUGGCAAGUCUCAUUGAGGCAACAGUUAGGUUUCGUGAGUUCCCCUUUUGAGAUGGUUUUUCACUUUGGGAUGUAUUCCACUUUUUUCUUUGUCGAACUCAUCUAAAUUUUUCUGUAUCAGAAUUUUUUUUUUGUGCUAAGGAAAAAGAGGCACCUGUGAUUGUGUGUGUGUGUGUUUUUUUUUUCUUGAUAUACUGUGUGGUUCACGAUCAUCUAGGCUCUCAAUGAUUUUAGGAUUUUAUUGUUGUUAUUGUUAUUGUUAUUGCAUAUAUAUUUGUGAACAUGCAGAUAUUUAUUGUGUUUGUAUUGUUAUUCUAUAUUUCAUAGAAUAUACAUUCAUUGUCUUAUUUGCUAUAAUUUCACUUUAUUUUUGUGUUAAGCAAUUUACUUAGAUUGCUAUAAUUUCAAAUUAGAGUGACAUUAGUUUUUAUAAUAUGGUGCCUAUCUAGAAGUGUAGUUCCAGUUUUAACACCAGUGCUCAUUGCUUCAAUUUUGGUAACGUGUAGGUUCUAACACGAUUCCCAAGAAGAAGCCAGUCAUUGCUGUGAAGAUGGUUUUUGAUUUGAAGACUACAAGGCCUAUCGUGCUCAUGUUUUGUUCUAGAUGGGAAUCGUGCUCAUAUUUUUGUAUAGAACUUUACUACUCUCUAUUGUGGAUGGGAAAUCACUAGUAUUGUAACUGAAUGGCUUAUUUUGGAUGGUGCAUGCUUUAUGACUCAUUUGAGGCAACAUUUAUAUAUAUAUAUAUAUAUAUAUAUAUAUAUAUAUAUGUAUUUGGGUUGAUCUUCUAUUGGAAAUGAAUGUUGGCUUUCUUUUCGUAUGUUGACUUUUUUUUUCUCAUUGCUACUCUCAAUGAACGUUUUGUGAUUGUUGGCAGCUAUGUUGUGUAAUUAACAUUAGAUUAUUGCUUUUUACAAAAAAAAUAAAUGACAAUAAAAAAGUUGUCACUGCCAACAAGUUUCACUAGUGACACCAGAAAGUGGUCACUUUUUAUGGAUGGAAAACAAUGACAACAAAAGUCGUCACUGAACGGAAGCAUAAUGUGACAACUCCAAGGGUUGAUUAUGACAAGAAUUUAGCCAGCUUAGUGACAAUAAAAGUCGUCACAUAAUGUACAAUAAUGAGUGACGACAAGAGUCAUCACAAAAGCGAAAUCGUUUGUGACGACUUUCAACAGUCGUCACAUGGACCCCCUUUUGUGACAUAGAACUAGUGACAGCUCUGUGACAGCAGUAAAAGUCGUCACUGAUUUUUUUUGUGACGACUUCUGAAUUUUUAGUGACGACUUUCGCCUGUCACAGAAACGCAAUUUUCUUGUAGUGAGUAGUCCAUUCAUAACAAUUUUUAUAGUUACAUAACAUUUUGAAAACUUCAAGCUGCAACAUAGCCACACAUUCGUAACAGUCUAUUCCUUGUAGGACUGUCAAUGGGAUUAGGCCAACCCGAAUUCACCUCGUUCGGCUCGAAAGAAAACCCGAUGAGCCAGACCUUUCAAUAUGUCAAUAUGAGAUUGAGCCUAAAAAUUAGGCCGAAUUAAAUAUAACCCGAGUUUGGGACUUAUUAAGCUCAAACCCGUUAUAGGCCCACCUUCAAAUUACCUAUAUAUAAUGAUAUAUAUAUUGAUAUUAUAUAUAAUUAUAUAUCCAAAUAUAUUAUUACUAAAUAUAAAAAUUAUAAAACACAAAAUAUAUUUGAAAACUCCUCUACUAGCUUUCUUGAGAGUCAGUAUUGGUAAUCUAUAACAGAAAUUUUAACUUUUCUUAUUGGUUGAAUAAAUUUUGUAUUAGUAUAAUAUGUGUUGAUUUCUUUUUGAUCUAGAAACAUAAAUCAUCAAUCAUAUUUGGAUUCAAGUCUCAAACCUAUGAAGAAGUUCUAACCUUUGAAGAUGUAUUGGCUUAUAGGGGUGAGCAAAUUUGGUACGUACCGAAUUCAUACCUGAAUUCAAAUUCAAUUUGGUAAUUUGAAAUCGGGUAUUUUAAUUUGGUACAAAGCAGUAUUUACCGAAUUCACCGAAUUCUAAUAUGGCAUGAAAUAUGUAAUGAGAUUAUGAAUUUGUAAUAACCGAUUUCGAAUUCAAAUUCGAUAAAAAGAAAUAGGGUACCGUAUUACCGCAUUCGAAUAUCAAAUUACUUUAUAAAAUUAUAUAAAUAUAAAUAAAUGCCAUUUAGUAUUAGUAUAUACUACUAAUUUAUUAGUAUAUUAUAUAGGUAAAUGCUAUUAAUAAUAGUUAGUAUAUGGUAUUAUCAAGUAUUUAUGAUAAUAAUAUAUAAUGAUGUACAAUAUACUAUUUUAGUAUUUGUUAAUUGUUAUAUGACUAUAAUAAUACAAUUACAACAAUACAUAACAUAACUAUAAUACUUAUUAUUUUACACAUGACUAGAAUUAGAUAAUAAUUAAUAAGUAGAGGUAUAAUACUAAAUAUUAAACAAUAAACAUAAUUAGUAAUUAGAAUUUAGAUAUUGUAAUUUGGUAUAUCAUUCAUGUUUGAAUUAUUGAUAGUUGAAUGCAUAACUUAUAACUUGCAAGUAUUAGUGUACUCUAAAAUUACACUACAUAUUUAACAUAAAAAUUCAUAUUCUCUAUUCACUAAUGUUAAGGUUUUAAGCAUAGACAAGACAACUAAGUAGUCUAAGUGAAUACAUAUGAAUUGCAAAUCAAUGUAUUAGUGUAUUGGCUUUCACUAUUAAAAGCAAUUUGGUGUUGUAGCCUGUAAGUUUGUAAUUAGAUUGAUUACAAUAGCAGCGUAGCUAUUAAACUUGAUAACAGGGUUUAAUUAGGCUGAAAAUUGCAAUUAAAGGAUUCAAUAGAAUUUUUAUGUUUUUUUAAUGAAUUCUGGUUAACCGAAUUCAUUACCGUUUCCAAAUUCAAAUUCGGAAUUGAAAUGAAUUCAGGUAUCUCCAAUUAGAUAUAAAUAUUGUUGAAAAAUUCUUGAUUUAUGUACUUUUUAAGAACUAUUACUUGUUCAUAUUUAGUUUUAAUGUUGUAGUCCUGUGAAUGUUAAAUUAGUUCUCAACUCAACAAUUGCAGUAAGUAUACUAAGAAAAUUAAGAGCAAUAAGUGAGUUUAGACUAAAGCCGAAUAAGGCUCAAAACUCAAAUAUUUUUUGAGUUGAAAAUGAUCAUCACAUUUAUUAAUCCAACACUCAAAGCCCGAAACUGAAAGUGUUACAAGUUAAAUGAGUUGAACCUGAACUUAUGAAAGUUCGGCUCAUAUAGCCAAAUUGACAGGCCUAAUUCCUUGUCAUUAAUUCUUUCUAGCGGGGAUUAUUAUGAAUAAACAACUGUCAAGGGAUCCUUUUCUUAAAGCAGACAAAUUUGAUGUUAAGAAAUAACAUUUUUCUAAGCAGACGAAGUUUGAUGAUUAUGGCAAUUCAAUUCCUUGGAUAUCUAAACAAUUGGGUUGGAGCAUGAUAUUGUUGCAUAUGUUAUAAUUAUCUAUACCGGUGAUAUCUUUUGACUUUGUUAGAACUUUUUUAAUAUCCAAGACUGAGCCUUAAAAUUGGCCUUGCAUUACAAGCAUACAGUCUCUCCCAUCAUAAAUUAACUCAAAAUAAUUUAUGUUUUAAUCUACAAUUACUUGUGGUAAGUUACUUUAAUGAAUCAAAUCACACUUAAAAUUCCAAAAUGGGUGUCCUAAGUUGUAUUUAUUGUUAUUAUUUGGGUAAUAUUUGACCUUAAGAAUCAAUCUUUUUUUGUUGUCUUGGUAAAUACAAGGUUUAAAAAAAUAUAUUUUUCAUGGAGAUUAGUUCUACAACUAUAUUGGGAAGUCGUGAUUAUAUGAAAGAUAUUUGUAUUAUGGCUAUAUUAGUGCACAUGUUAUAACAGAUUAUGAUAUGGACAUUAUCUGCUGCAAGCAAGCAAUUUUUGCCUAAACAAAAGAAUCAUAUAAUUUGCUUCAGUAUUUAUACCGAACAUGCAUCUACAUUCUAUAAUUUGAUUUUAUUUUGAUGUUUCAGGUUGCAAUUUUGGUACUUGAUAUUUUCCAUUGAUGGCUAAGCAAACCACUAAAAAGAAAAUAAAAGAAUAAAUAGAAUAGGAUACAUCGUGUGCCGAAUUCGAUGGUUUUCUUUGAUAAAAAUAUGAAUUUGUUUUCUUUUCUAUAUUCUAGUUUCUCGAUUUUUCUUGAAUUUUGAUAAAAAAAGAUAGGAUUAUCAAAUUAUGAUUUCAACUCGAGUAUUUUUAUGAUUUUGGUUUCUUGAUCAGUUUGCCUGAUUUCAAAUGAUAGGUUAGAAUUGUAGUGUAUGCUUACAUAUCUUUUACGACUAAAUAGAUACAAUGUCUUCAUCAGGAAUCAAGAACUGAAAUGUGAAAUUGAUCAUUGGCCAACACUUUGGGUUUCAAAAAGUAUACUAUGAUGCUAUUUUUUCUUUUUAGUUAUAGCUAUCGGUUAAUAUUUAAUUAAUAGUACAAAAAAUUGUAUGUCUUUUGAUAAAAAUUUUCAACUCUCUAUAUUGUGACUCUCAAGUAGAUUAAGAAGCAAAGUAAUUUAAGCAAUUUUUUGUUGACUACAAUGACAAAUAUAAGUAGUCUUUCCUAUUUAUAGGCAGUACAAGGUUUGUUUAGGGACAUGGAGUCUAAGAUUCCAAGUACUGGCUUGAAACUGUGAGUAAAUUACUAUUUUGAUUAAAAGUUACUGACACCUUAACUUUUUGCAAGAAAGCGUAUCAACAAAUGUUGGUGCAUUACCUAUUCUUUUAACAGGAUUGUCAAUUUUGUUUGUACUAGUUUGACUUACAUAUACUAGUUUGACUUUGUAAUCAAUAAGAUACUUGUUGUUUUUGAAGAUAGAAUCUCAGAAGUUGAGAAUAGAUAAUUUUGACAAAAUGCACUAGAAUUAAUCUUUUUACACCGUUUUUAUAGUUAUUGGUUAGUCUUGAAUUUGACACAAAAGACAUGACUGAAGUUUGCAUGGACUUUUACAUGAACUAUAAUACACCUCCUUCACAGAAGAUCAAUCGCCCAUAUAUAGUAUAAGUGGCAAGAACAUUGAUGAAUUCCUUUUAUUUAUCCUUCUGCAUCACGAUUAAAGUGCUAUUGUCGCACCUAAAUUCAAGAUUUAAAUAAUUUUAAUAUCUUCAUUUUUAGUUAGAAUUUGUUAUGAAAUUAAUUUAUAUUUUUUAUGGAUGUAUUUUUAAUAUUCGUAUCUUUGCAUUUCAAGUAUGAGAUGUAGUUUGUAAAUACUAAAGACAUUACAGCACAACAUGUAUAUUUGCCAUCUAGAUACCUACUAAUCAUAUAGUUAUGGUUUGUUACGUUUUGAAAGGCAUUGCAUUACAAUUUUUACUUUUUUGUUAUAUAUUUGAAAUUUUUUAUUUAAUUAUAUAUAUUCCAAAUGCACAACCCUGAAUAAGUAGUUUAUCAUUCAACAUCCGUCAACAUUACAAAAAAUUAAAAAUUAAUUUGAAAUGAUUACGUUAAUCCUUUUGCAUGAUGAAUCCUGCCUAGUAAGACUGAAAUUCUUGUGUGUGAAACGUCCAAAUUCUUUAAAAUAGAUGUCAUUAAUUUUAAAGCAAUAGAAUUGUGUCCUAUUAUCCUUAUUUUCAUAAAUCAAGUAUGUGGCUUAAACAUUAUUAUUCUAUCCUAUUUAGAUAACAUGGGCGUCAACAAAUUUUUCUUCAAAUAGAUUUAUUACCAAAUGCUAUGGUAUCGAUUAUUAAGUUAAUGAUUAUACUUUUCAAUUGCUUAUGAUGUCAAUCUAGAGAAAAGUUCGUUCAUGAUUUUCAAGAUACAAUAUUUAAAUUUGAAAAGUUUGAAAUUCUUUAUAAAUCAUUUUUUUAAUAGUAUGUAUUGGAUGUACUUGCAGCAUAGGAUUAGAAUACAAUUAAAGCAAGCACUAUAACUAUGUGUUAUGUACUAGUAAACCUUUUUUGUUAAGAUAUGUCAACUUUUGUAGAAUUUUUUAGAUUCAUUUAGUGCUAGAAUAAUUUAGUUACUUAUUAAAUAAAUACAGUUGUUAGCAUAUUUGUUAACAAAAAAUCAUGUUAAAUUGUUAACAAAUAUUUUUGCUAAAAUUUAGAUUAAUUUAAUUUAUUAGCAAGUAGUUUUGUUGAAAUUUUUAUAGAGAUUUGUUAGUUGCAAGUUACGUUAGUUUGUUUUAUGUAAUAGCGAGUUGAUGAAUGAAGAAUAUAAACUUAUUUUCAAUGCUACUACUCCAACUGCUACUGCUACUACGUGAUUACCAACAAUUAUAAGCAUAGUUAUUAAACCCGGCCUAACCUGACGAUUCAACCGGUCAAUCCGGUCAACCAACCAUGAAGACUGGCUGGAUUGUUAAUUGGAUUGUUUGUGUAAAAAAUCCGUUGACUUGUCAAGGACCGGCGGUUCAACCGAUCAACUCAGUUGAAUCGGACGGUUUUGUAAGGAACCCAGUUGUUGGGUUAAAAAUUUGCAUAGUUAUUAAACCUGACCCGACCCAGCGAUUCAACCGGUCAACCCGAUGAACCGACCAUGAAACCAGGCUCGAUUAUUAAUUGGAUCGUUUGUGUAAAAAAUCCGUUGAUUUAUCAAGGACCAACGGUUGAACUAGACGGUUUUGUAAGGAACCUAGUUGUUGGGUUAAAAAUUUUUAGAAAAUGUUGCAAUGGUGAUUCAAACCUCGAGUAUAGGAAUAAAAUGCACUCACCACUAAACCAACAACCCAUUUUGUGCUUAUUUAGUCCUUCUAUAUUAUAUAUUAGAACUUUAUUCUUAUUUUAUUUCUUCAAAACAAAAUUUGUUUGGAAUCUUUUAAUAAAAUUUAUUAUUCCCCAAAUUCUAUAAGUUAUGAAAUGGAUUUAAAAAUAACAUAUUACACAAUUUAUUUUUAAGACAAAUAUUAUUCUUAAUAACCUUUUGCACUUAAAAUUCGUAAAUAAACUAGAUAAUUACACUUAAAUAAAAUUUUAUACUUGAAAUUUGGUAGACUAGUAAUUAAAUUUAGAUUUUGUUAAUUCUUAUAAGAAUUAAUUAUUCUAUAAUAAAUUGGACUAACUAAGUAUUUACUAUGGUAUACUUUAGUAUAGUUUCAACCAUAUCAAAAAGUAUGAAAUAUAAUAUUUAAAUAUAUUUAGUGACCCAUCGAUUGGAUCACUCACCCACUGGUUGAACCAGUAACCCGUUGACCCACUUCUUUCACCGGAUUCCUCCCAGGGUAGGGUUUGAUAACUAUGAUUAUAUGUCUAUAAUUAAGGGGAGAGGGAUGAGUUGGGUGAUACAGGAAAGGAAGUGUAAGUGAGCAAUACCAAGUUCGAAACCUCCCACUUGCACUAAAAAAAAACUAUGAUUAAGAGCAAUUUUGAGAGUAGUUUGUUGCAUAUUUUCUCAAUGUACAUUACCAAUCAACCUUGUGUUAUUGAUUUUGGCCCUCUCAUGUGCAUUAUUUUCAUGCAUUAAUGAACAUUAGUAAUAGCGACUCCUACUUUGAAUGGCAGAAAUGGGAAACUAAUUUUCUGAAAAUGCCUCACAACCUCAAAAAAAGUUUAGAGUUAAGCCUAUUUUGAACCAUGAUAAUAGGAAUUUUAGUGUUUUCUACGCACUGAAUGUUGAAAUAACAGUUACGGAUUCUGCCAAUUACAUGGUUAAAGGACUACAAAUACCAUACAAUCGAAUUUGGUUGAAGGAUUAGAUAUACUCUCAUUCACUUUAGCAUUAAAUGAACUGCUUCACAUGCUAAUAUGUAGGUCCAUGUAAUUUAGGAUAUGUAUGAGCCUGCAUAUUUGGAAAUGAAAUUGAAGGUACAUUUCUUAAUUCUCACCAGCCAGACCAACAAAAAUUCGUAUAAGACUUUACCUCGAGUGCAAAUUCCGCUCUAGAUUUGAUUAAUACUCAAAAAUUUAGAUAAAGAAUAGUAAUUAGCAAGCAAAUAUGAUAUCUAUCGCUAGUAACUAUAAUUUUACUCACUAUGAAAAAAAUUUUCGGUUAAUUUUUUGUAAAGAAAUAAAAUGUCAAUAUCAGUAAAGGGUAGUAAAUUUUCAUUCUAACAGUUACAAACUCCAUAUCUUGUCUAGAGAGAUCUAAAGUUAUCUACCAACCUCAAACAAACUUGAGUACGCGUAAAUGUCACCCCAAAUGAUCAAUAUACUUGAGCUUUUUUUUUACAAUUUUCACCGGGCACCAGAAUAGAAUGAGAAGUAGAAAAUCAAAACCUUUCUUCUACACUGAAAGCCAAGAACAAAGAACGUCCACUGUAUUAUGGAAAUAUGUUGUCAUCAUUAGGAAUUGGGAAAUAGAUGUACGUAAAAAAUGGAUUAGAAGAGUCAUUAUCAUGAUUUUUUUUUUUUGAUAUUCUAAAGUCAAAUGAACUCAGAAUGUAGAUCAAGACAAGGGUACGGAGAAUUGCCCUGGCUAUACAAAUUAAGCUACCAAAGUACACAAUGCAUCCAUAAGCUUACAUAUUCCACUGAUAGCAAAAGAUAGACUGUCAAUUAAGCACUUGCUUGUUUAGCAACAGUCAUGUAUGUUAAGCACUGGAGACGUUUUUCAAUGCUCAUACUUAAAGAAAUGAAUAAAUACAUAAAAUUCGACAAACAACCCAAAAAAAAACCCUUUCGAUCUAAUAUUUUCUCUUUGAAAGACUGACGGGUUUUUACUAUAAGUGCAAGUUUAAUUCCGAAUUAUACCCGUUUUUCUGCAAGUAUACAGGCCAAAAUCAUAAUAUUGGGUAUGUAUCGGGUCGAUCCCACGAGGAGCAAUUAAAACAAUUAUUAGAUACUAAUUUACUCUAUUAUUUAGACUCACAAUAAAUUUGAGCAGAAAAUUCAGAAUUAAUUCAACUACAAAAAUUCUUAACUAGAUAAAUGCAAUUCUCAAGGAGUAGAAUUCACUAAAUAUUAAGAUCUAGGGAUGUAGAUUCCACUUAUGACACAAAAGAUCUAAAAUGAAUUAAUUCAACACUUGUUACUGCUCUUGUUUAACCAAGGAUUCAUUUCCAGAAAUACCAAAAUCACAUUCUCAUGAUAAUAAUGGGUUAAAACAGAUUAGUUUUCCUAAUCUCUUGGUAAAUACUAAAUCUGUUCUUAUUCACACAUGAAAUGCAGAUUUCAUCCACUUGAAUGUAUUUCUAUUCUCAUGAAUAUACUACUCAAGCUCUACUUGUUCAUUCCAUUAUUUUUACCAUUUCUCAAUGAGUAAAAACAACUAUAAACCUAUAUUGGUGAUCAAACAACAACAAGUAAUCAACAUACACAAGUAGAUAAGUUAAUACAAGAUAUAACAAGUAUAAAUCACAAUCACUUCAUAUCACUUGGCCAUAAGCUUCAUCUACUCCCUAGAUAAGGAAAUUAGCUACUCAUGAAUGAUGAAACACUCAUAACUUCAUUAAUGCAAAUCAUCAUGAAUUACAAAUACAAAAAGUAAAGAAAGUCUUAGCCAAGAUAUGGUGAAGCCUUCCAAAAAUCUCCUUUGUCUUGAACUUAGAUGAUUACAAGAUGAAACCUCAAUUGCCCUUGCAAGUACCUAGCUAGAGAGAAUAUGUUUUUCUGUAAGAAGCUAAGCUACGUAUGGUGUCCAGACCUCCCUCAAUGUCUCUGCAUAAAAACUCUCAAAGGCUCCAUUUUUCCAAGUCAAAUUCUAUCCUUUGAUUCCCAAAUCUCCACUUUGUUAGCAUAGUCAAAAACCAAUAUUUUUGACUUGAAAAUAAGCCAUCUUUAUGCCCUUUUGUCUUCUGAGCAUGUGCACCGAAUUCUCUUGCAGAUUGUAGCUGGAAAGUAGUUUGAACAUAAGAGAAUUGACUGAGCAAAUUGCAGAAUUACGGCCAGAAAACGCGCCUACACAAAACGCGGUUACAAGUCACGUUUUGUGUACUCGCGUAUUCACUUUGGCCUUACUUCAUCUGCGAUUUUCUCUGUCAUAAAGGCCGAACUGGCUUUUGUGCAAAACACAAAGUUGUAACCCUUUGAGUUAGCUUUCCAAUGCUCUAAAAUCAUCCAGAUCGGAGUUGUCAGCCUGAGAUAUGACGAAAUACCACCUGGUCAAACCUCUGUUUCAGUUCGACCACAGAGUGCAGCUUCUGUAUUCCGACUUUUUGUCCAUGAAAAUGGCAGAAUUGGAUUUCGAUGUCUUCAUACGAAUUGUAGGUCUCUUUCUUAGCUUUAAAAUGGUAUAAAGAUCACCUCAAUCCGAUAAGUGUAGCUCCAGAUAUGGUCAAAAUACUGAAGAGUGUCAAAACUGACUUGUAUUGCAUUUCCUCACUUGAACGUUUUUCACUUCAUUCUUCUUGUUACCACUUGAAUUCAUCACCAAAUUUCUAUUUUUCACUCAUUUGACAUCCUUUGGUGAUUGAAUCAUCAUUCCUGCAUAAAAAUGAAGUUUUUACAUUAAAAUACUAAAAAAUGCAAUAUUAUCCACUUUUACCAAAAAUAUAUAAUUUUACCAAAAACCUCUUUAUUUUAUUAUAAAACUAAAUAAUCAACUCAAAAUUAACUAAUAAAAUGCACUUAAAAAUACGUAAAAUAAACUCUUAUCAAAUACCCCCACACUUGAAUCAUUGCUUGUCCUCAAGCAAUAUAAAAUUCCAACCAUCAAUGAUCCAAAAAUUUGAAAAUAAACAUAUGUAGUAUUUCAACUCCAUUUCCUUGAAUCAAGGUAAAUAACCCUUAUGUGAUCUUUCCAUUAAGUUCAAGUACUCAUAAUAUCAAGCAAAGAAGAGCCAAGUAUACCAUAAUUUUACCAAUUCAACUCAACUUCUUAUUUUUAUCCAAUUUCGCAAGCAAGCAACUCCUAUAGUCAAUAAAGAUGCUAACUAAUCUCAUGAUCAACUUCUUAUUUUUCUUAAAGAGGGAUUUAAUUUACUUUUUUAUAUAUUAUAUAUAUUUUAAGGUUAAAUAUUACUUAAGUUGUGAAAAAUGCCUUUUGACGCGAAGAUCAACAUUUUUAGAUGCAGAUCCCCGGUUACUCAACAUUUCACAUACUCAAGUUGCUUUGCAUACUCUUAAUUCAAGUACCUUUUUACGCGAAUGUCGACAUUUGUAGAUGCCAACCCCGGUUACUCGGUACGAGAAUCAUUGGAGUAGAAUAACCCUUUUUUUUAUAUAUAUAUAUAAUAAAAUUCCCUCUAAGAGUAAUCAUGAGAAGAGUAUGACACUUAUUAACCAUAUUAAUUUCUUAUCUUAUAAAAUUAGAUAAAAAGAAGAAUUUUCAUCAAAUAUACAAAAUGUAGGCAUAAUUUUCUCCACUUUACUAGAUAUACUUUCCUAUAGAUGUAAAAAUUAUAAUCACAUAAAAAUCAUUUCCAAAUUUCAUGAGAAAAGAAGUAUCAAAACCGCAUAUAUUUAUUUCAAAAGGAUAAGUGACAAAAUUUUAUUUAUUUAUUAUAGUUAAUAACAUAUAUAUGUAUAAGGUUUUGGAAAAAUUUUGACAGAGUCUCCCUUAAAAGUGGACUAAACUCCCUGCCAGCAACCACAAGAAACACAAUUUAAGCACAAGAAUUAUAUCAACACAACUAAAAUCACAAGUACCACACAUUUCUCCCCCACACUUAGAAUACACAUUGUCCUCAAUGUGUAGGGAAAGAAAAGAAAAGAAACAAAAGAAAGGAACAAGUGACUCCCCAAGUGAUAUGACUGCGGUCCAGUGAAGCCUUGAAUCAUGAGUCAUCGACCGCUCAACCAUCUACAGUCAACGAUCUACUAGUUACUGCCACAAGUUCCAAUAUUCAAAAUAAGGAAUGUAAGUUAACAUUUUUCAAACAAAAGAUAAAAAUAACAGCAAACAAGCAAACAAAAGAAAAGCCAGCCAAAGGGCAGCCUCAAUCAUCCUCUUCAUCGUCAUCUUCAUCAUCAUCGACGGAGGUGGAUGUAAGCCUAGAUGAUGUUCAAUGUGGUCCAGGCGAGUAUCUAGUCGGGCUAAAUGAUGGUCGAUGUCGUCCAAGCGACCGAAAAGCCGCUGCCAAUUGGUUUGUGGCGGAGGAGGAGGUGGUGCUGCAGUAGAUGGUCCAGCUUCCAUCGCGACCAUGUCUAGCCUUCUGUCUCCGCUCCUGAACAGGGCGUGGAAUGUUCCCCGUGCCAAUACCAAGCCGACGAGAGUAGUAAGAGUCAUUUCAGCUCGUGGAGGAACAUUCUCCCGCCUCAUGCCUUCCAACGAACCUCAAAACGGGGAAGAUUAAAGUCAGUAGACGAGGAAAUGAUAAUUUGAAAGAAGUUGUCUUACGCCUCGCCGUAGACCGAAUGUGGCUAAUGAUGAUGUUAGGCAGCGAAAUGUGAGCAUAUGGAGACGUCCGGUUAUGGAACAUGUAAUCCAAGAAGUAGAUAUCGCUCUUGCGAACCUCCGUGUGCCCCGUCUUCUUUGGAUACAUUGUGAGCCAUCAUAUGAUAAGACGAUGACGAGGUUCGAACACAUUCGCCAAUAUGGUCUCCUUCCUUGUAGAGCGAAAAGGUUGGUACUCGAGACCAAAUCUGGCCAUGGCCAAUGAUGGAUCCCACCUCCUAUUCGGGGGAACAAACUCCUUCUUCAGAUCUACUGGACGUCCGUCAUCCAUACACCCAAAAUAGCAGCCAAAUCUUGACGUGACAAGGUGAUUCGUCUUCCACGCACCCAGGACUCAACUAUUUCUCCACUAUGGCGCGCCUUACUUUCAAUGUUGGCGUAAAACUCGCGCACCAAGUCUGGGUAGUAAUGGUUUGGAAGGGUGAGAAUCGGAGCCCAUCCUAGCUGAGCAAAAGCCUCUGAGAUGUUAUACAUCAUCUCAACUGUUGGGUUGACAUGCAUCUCGAACAGGAAUUCCAAGUUAGCAUGCUCCUCAUGCCAUUCUUGAUUCCUGCGAGUAUUGAACCUAGCACUGUCAAAUACCGAUCUACCCGCUCCACGGGAGCUGCCCUCACCAGGCUGUCGACUAACGGUGGCGGAGAAGGUGAACUCUCCUCCUCAGACACGUCCAUCUCUUCAUUAACCUCUCUCUCCUCACUACUAGAGGAUGAAAGUACCGCUCUUCUUCCCCUUGGCAUAGUACCUAAAAGAAAAUGUUACAAUUAACCACAUGUAUUUAGAACACUGCAUUUGGCAAUGAAUAUCCGAAAAUGAUCCAAAUAAUCUCUAAAGUGUCCUUGCAAGUGAUAAUUCGUCCAAUAACUAAUGUAAAGACCGAAUCAAGAAGAGCCAUAAUUUUUGCCAAAAAUUGUUCAAAAUCACCAAUUGAAACAAGAUAUUGAAUAAUUAUAACCCAAUCAGUGAAAUUAACAAUAAUUAUGAUUAUAACUAUUUAGAAUUAACAAUAAUAAUAUGCUUUAGCUAUAAUCAUGUUUAGCAAAAAUUAAACAAUUAACUCACAAAUCAACCAAAUUACUCAUAUACACAAUGCACAUGCAACAUCAUCAACUAACCAUUUAACCAUAAUUUAACAUCACCAAUGGCUCAAAAACAUCCUAGUUCCUUUUUCCAAUUUCAUCUAAAUAUAGCAAUUGUGAAUUUUAAAGUAAUGACCAACAAAUUGCUACAUUUAAACAUAAACAUACUUAAACAAUCAAUAAGCAUGAAUAAAUUCAAAAAUAGUCAAAACAUCAUCAAAUUUUCGAAUUAAAAGAUGUCAGAUAGCUCAGGAUAAAAAAUAUAACUUCUAAAAUCAAAAGAUUUGAUGAAGAAACUUACCUCAAUCACGUAGAAGGAUGUUUGGUGAUGCUAAAAAUGCAAAAAGCCCUAUGAAACAACCUCCAAUUGACCUCCAAUUGAAGAAAUUAGAGUUAAGAACCCUAACCUUCAAUCCUUCAAAAACUGAUUUUAGGUGUUUUUCUUGGAUUUUAAUCAGUUAAAAAGGUUGUAUGAAGCUCAAAAGGUGUUGGGUGAUGAUUUCUAGCAAGAUUAUGGAGUAAAUGAAGAUUUGUGAGUUGGGUAGAAGGAAGAGGAAAAACGCGGCUGGAAAAAUUGGAAAGAGGAAGAAUGAAGCUGAAAUCGCGUUUCUGCAUAUAUUAGUCACAGAAAACGCGACUAAAAACGCGCCUUCAACUCGCGUUUUUAAAGUCGCGUUUUUGCACAAAUCUGCAGAAUGAAAACGCGACUGUAAACGCGACUUGAGUCGCGUUUCAAGUCGCGUUUUGAGUCGAUCAGGCUUGAAAACGCGACUUCCAUUAAAACGCGACUUUAGUCGCGUUUUAAAGGCGCGUUUUCUGUUCUGCAGGUGCAGAAUUGAAAACGCGAUUCUGAGAAACGCGACUUAUAGUCGCGUUUUCUUGAAAACGCGUUUUCUGCUUCGAUUUUUAGCAGAAUUUCAACUUUUGAAAAAUUACAAAAGGUACCCCAAUGACUCAAAAUGCAUCAUAGAUCAUUUGUUUGCCAAUUUUUUGAACAAAUGUAAAACAUUAAAAACAUGCAUUUUACCCCUUUAUAAUGAAUCAAAAACACCUUUAACGCAAAUCGAGGGGUUGAGUUGUUUGAUCAAAGUUCGCCUUUUUUGUACUCAAUUGGUCAUCCUUGCCUUCAAUUGCCAACCCUAUUACAAAAACAACAAUUAGCUAAAACAUUGAUUAACAAAAUCACAAAGUUAACAAAUAUAACCUAAAUAUUGGGUUGCCUCCCAAUUAGCGCUUUUGUUUAUAGUCGUUGGCUCGACUGAAAAAGUUGAAUCACUUUAGAGCAUUAGAGAGAGAUUUUCUCCCCAUGGGUCGAAACUCCCGAGCCAAUCCACCAUGUGGUGAACCAUGCAUUGAUCUUCAUAGUCCAAUUUCCUCAAAUGCCAAGGAGGAAUAUUAGACUUGUCAUAGAGAGGCUCAACUUCACCUUGGAGUGGAUUUUGCUUGUCUUUUCUGAAUUGGCUCAACUUUUCACCAUUUUCUUCAUGGAAUGGCGAAUUUAUUAAGCCAACUUCCAUCCUUAUCUUCUCCUCCUUUGUUCCUACACCAUGAAAGUUAGUACCAAGGACAUUUAUAAAUUUAACUUCUUCGGUCCUUUCUUGGUUAACCUUUUCAUCAUAUGGCAUAUUAGAAACAAGAGCAGUAGGCUCUAUACUCCCUUCUUUAUUAUCCAAAUUGAAUUCCAAUUCCUCACCAUUAACCCGUAAUAUAAGCUUACCUUUUUCUACAUCAAUUAUAGUUCGUGCAGUGGCUAAAAACGGUCGUCCUAGAAUAAUUGGCAUUCUCACAUCUUCUUCAAUAUCUAAGACAACAAAAUCCACAGGUAUUAUAGAUUGUCUUACCUUUAUGAGCACAUUUUCCAAAAUACCCAUGGGACGUGUGAUUGACCGAUCCGCCAAUUGCAAUGUAAUAUUGGUAGCUUUUAGCUCUUGAAGUCCCAAUCUCCGGGCAACCGAUAACGGCAUAAGUGACACACUUGCACCUAAAUCACAUAAAGCAUUAGAAAAAUGCAAUUGACCAAUAGUGCAAGGAAUAGAAAAACUUCCCGGAUCUUUCAAUUUAGGAGGGAGUUUAUUCUUAAUCAAUGCACUACACUCUUCCGUUAAUGCUAUCAUCUCAUUAUCUACAAUUUUCCUCUUCUUUGACAUGAUGUCUUUCAAGAAACGUGCAUAAGAGGGAAUCUGUGUUAUAGCAUCAAUGAAAGGAAUGUUAAUGUGCAAUUGUUUAAACAUUUUGAAGAACUUUUCAAACUCCCGAUCCUGUCCAUCUUUCUUCAACCUGUGAGGAAAAGGUAUCACAUUAGAAUUUAAUUUUUGGGAUGAAGUGCAUCAAUAUCAAUGAUAACAUGAUCAUUUUGACUUUCUUGCUCCCCUUCAAUUGCUUGCUUCUUGUCUUUUUCACCACCUGAAUUUUCAAAAUCGAAUCCCUCAACCGUUUUACCGCUUCUAAGAAUGAUUGCAUUGACAUGCUCUCUCGGAUUCACUUCGGUUUUACUUGGUAAUUCACCAGGGUUUCUAUUGUUGAUCACAUUGGCAAUUUGACCAAUUUGAACCUCCAAGUUUCUGUACAUCCCAGCUAAUUGGUCCAACCGCCCCUCAACUCGCUCGAAUCUAUCCGAAGUCACCUUAGCAAGUUUUUCCACCGCGAUCUCCCAACUUGGUUUAGUUUCAGCCUGUGGUUGCCUUGGUUGAAAUCCCGGCGGAUUGGUUGGCCUUUGUUGAUUGCCUUGAUCUUUCCAUCCAAAGUUUGGAUGAUUUCUCCACCCCGGAUUGUAAGUAUUCGAGUAGGGAUUAUUUGGAGCAUUUCGGUUGUAAUUAUUGACAAAUUGUACCUGCUCAGAAUCAACACACUCAUUAAUAUCAUGUUCACCUCCACAGAAAGAGCAACAAGCUACGUGAGCAUUAGACGAACUUGGGCUAACUCCACAUUGUCUACUCAAUAACUUCAUAACGUUAUUCAUUUGGGCACUCAACAUAUUGAGAGUGUCCAUUUCGAUCAUACCUGCGUGACGUCUCGUAUUACCUCUUUCAUUGGCCCAUUGGUAGUUAUUUGCGGCCAUUUCUUCUAUCAAAUUCUGAGCUUCUUGGGGUGAUUUACCCAUUAAAGCUCCACUUGCGGCUGCAUCAAUCAUAGUUUUAGUGGUGAAAGAUAAACCAUUAUAAAAGGUUUGUAUAAUCAGCCAUUCGGGUAGUCCAUGGUGUGGACAUUUCCGUAACAAAUCUCUAAACCUUUCCCAUGCUUCAUAUAAUGAUUCUCCUUCCAUUUGACUAAAACCAGUGAUAUCCAUUCUUAGCUUAGCAGUCUUACCGGGUGGAAAAUACUUAUUCAAAAAUGCCCUUGAUAAAUCAUCCCAUGUGGUAAAAGUGUUAGGAGCAUGAGAGUGUAACCACAUUUUUGCCUUAUCUCUUAAUGAAAAUGGAAACAACCGUAACCUAAUAGCAUCAUCACUAACUCCAUUCAUUUUAAUUGUAUCACAAAUUUCCAAAAAUGUAGUUAAGUGUGAAUUAGGAUCUUCUACUGCAUUACCUCCAAAUUGAGAUUGUUGAACCAUUUGGAUAAGUGAUGGUUUAAUUUCAAAAUUGUUAGCAUUUACCGUUGGCCUUACUAUACUUGUUUGAGAUCCUGGUGUUCCUGAUAAAGCAAAAUCUCGUAGAACUCGCCUAUUUGCUUCAUUUUCGGCCAUCUCUUCCUCAAAUGGUAGAUCUAUUGAGAUUUCCUCUAUAGGUUGCCAAAUCUCUUGUUCCUCUUGCUGUGGUGGAUGCCUCCUUUGUCUACGUAGUGUCCUCUCAAUUUCUGGAUCGAAAGAUGUAACUUCCCGAGACACCCGGUGCAUACACUACAAACAGAAAUAAGAGAUAUUAUACAAUUUCAAUUGUCAAAAACUGAUUACAAUAUAAGAUUAAAUAUAAUCAGCUCAACUAAUAAAAAUAAAUCUGUCUAAAUUAAUAGAGUUGAUUAGGCUCUAAUAAUGCCGCUCCCCGGCAACGGCGCCAAAAACUUGACGGGUUUUUAUUAUAAGUGCAAGUUUAAUUCCGAAUUAUACCCGUUUUUCUGCAAGUAUACAGGCCAAAAUCAUAAUAUUGGGUAUGUAUCGGGUCGAUCCCACGAGGAGCAAUUAAAACAAUUAUUAGAUACUAAUUUACUCUAUUAUUUAGACUCACAAUAAAAUUGAGCAGAAAAUUUAGAAUGUAAUUCAACUACAAGAGUUCUUAACUAGAAAAUUGCAAUAUCUCAAGGGGAGUAGAAUUCACUAAAUAUUAAGAACUAGGGAUGUAGAUUCCACUUAUGACACAAAAGAUCUAAAAUGAAUUAAUUCAACACUUGUUACUGCUCUUGUUUAACCAAGGAUUCAUUUCCAGAAAUACCAAAAUCACAUUCUCAUGAUAAUAAUGGGUUAAAACAGAUUAGUUUUCCUAAUCUCUUGGUAAAUACUAAAUCUGUUCUUAUUUACACAUGAAAUGCAGAUUUCAUCCACUUGAAUGUAUUUCUAUUCUCAUGAAUAUACAACUCAAGUUCUACUUGUGUCAUUCCAUUAUUUUUACCAUUUCUUAAUGAGUAAAAACAACUAUAAACCUAUUAUUGGUGAUCAAACAACAACAAGUAAUCAAGCAUACACAAGUAGAUAAGUUAAUACAAGAUAUAACAAGUAUAAAUCACAAUCACUUCAUAUCACUUGGCCAUAAGCUUCAUCUACUCCCUAGAUAAGGGAAAUUAGCUACUCAUGAAUGAUGAAACACUCAUAACUUCAUUAAUGCAAAUCAUCAUGAAUUUACAAAUACAAAAAGAGUAAAGAAAGUCUUAGCCAAGAUAUGGUGAAGCCUUCCAAAAAUCUCCUUGUCUUGAACUUAGAUGAUUACAAGAUGAAACCUCAAUUGUCCCUUUGCAAGUACCUAGCUAGAGAGAAUAUGUUUUUUCUGUAAGAAGCUAAGCUACGAAUGGAUGUCCAGACCUCCCUCAUUGUCUCUGCAUAAAAACUCCUCAAAGGCUCCAUUUUUCCAAGUCAAAUUCUAAACUUUGAUUCCCAAAUCUCCACUUUGUUAGCAUAGUCAAAAACCAAUAUUUUUGACUUGAAAAUAAGCCAUCUUUAUUGCCCUUUUGUCUUCUGAGGCAUGUGCGCUGAAUUCUCUUGCAGAUUGUAGCUGGAAAGUAGUUUGAACAUAAGAAAAUUGACUGAGCAAAUUGCAGAAUUACGGCCAGAAAACGCGCCUACACAAAACGCGGUUACAAGUCACGUUUGGUGUACUCGCGUAUUCACUUUGGCCUUACUUCAUCUGCGAUUUUCUCUAUCAUAAAGGCCGAACUGGCUUUUGUGCAAAACGCCAAAGUUGUAACCCUUUGAGUUAGCUUUCCAAUGCUCUAAAAAUAAUCCAGAUCGGAGUUGUCUAGCCUGAGAUAUGACCAAAAUACCAAAACCUGGUAAAACCCCUGUUUCAGAUUCCGACCACAGAGUGCAGCUUUUGUAUUCUGACUUUUUAUCCAUGAAAAUGGCAGAAUUGUAUUUCGAUGUCUUCAUACGAAUUGUAGGUCUCUUUCUUAGCUUUAAAAUGAUAUAAAGAUCACCUCAAUCCGAUAAGUGUAGCUCCAGAUAUGGUCAAAAUACCGAAGAGUGUCAAAACUGACUUGUAUUGCAUUUCCUCACUUGAACGUUUUUCACUUCAUUCUUCUUGUUACCACUUGAAUUCAUCACCAAAUUUCUAUUUUCACCUCAUUUGACAUCCUUUGGUGAUUGAAUCAUCAUUCCUGCAUAAAAAUGAAGUUUUUACCAUUAAAAUCACUAAAAAUGCAAUAUUAUCCACUUUUACCAAAAAUAUAUAAUUUUACCAAAAACCUAUUUAUUUUAUUUAUAAAACUAAAUAAUCAACUCAAAAUUAACUAAUAAAAUACACUUAAAAAUACGUAAAAUAAACUCUUAUCAAAGACUUCCAUAUUGGAAGAUAUGUCAUGCCAUAAGAGAAGGGAAGUUUUGGUACAACAAUUGCGGAAAGUACCCAGGUCCUUUGCAUCUGAAGGGUUCUCUUCAUUUUCUUUUAAUGCAUCACCAUUCUCCUCUGCUAAACUUUCUUUCACUGGUUCCAGAAUGGCAGCAACCCGUUUCUUAAGGACCUUCUUUGUCCCAGGAACCAUAUCUGCAGUCUUAAUCUCCCAUCCCUUCUCUGGACAGUCACCAUAUCUGCUGUCCGAAUCUUAAGUGGGUCUGUCCCGAGUGCGGACGUAUCUUUCCGCCCCACAAAGAUAGAAGUAGAUAAACAGGAAUUAAUUCUAACUCCCACAUAAUGGAAAAAAAGUAGAAGGCCCCGAGAAGAAAAUAAUCCUAUUUGAGCACUGUACAUCGCUAACAUCAAGAAAUUAAAUAAUCAAGAAUUCCUAGUAACUGGCCAAGCUACUAAAGUCGCUAAAGUUUUGUGAAUCCGUUGGUAAAAUAGGUCCUAUAGAAAGUCCAUCUAUUCCUAAUCUCCAAUGGAAAUAAAACAACUAUAUCCAUUUAUAAACCUCCAUCAGUUGGAUUAAUGGAUCAUCUGUUUGGAAAAGAUAACAGAAUGUACAGGCCGUUAGAAGGAGUUCGAAAAUGCAUAUAAAUAUAGCAUACCAAUGGAUGACCCUCUUUCCUCUAUGGGGAAGAAAACAAAUUAAGAAAUCUGCAAAAAUUGGGGGCUCUAGUUAUAAUCCAGAAAUGAUUCGUGUAUAUAUUUCACAGAAAUAUGAAAUCAAAGUAGGCAAUAAAGUAGCUGGAAGACACGGAAACAAAAGUAUUAUUUCAAAAAUUUUGACUAGACAAGAUAUGUCUUAUUUGCAUGAUGGAAGACCUGUUGAUAUGGCUUUCAACCCACUAGAAGUACCUCAGAGGGUAGGAGAAAUGGAGAUUUGGGCUCUAGAAGGAUUUGGUAUUACUCAUAUUUUACAAGAAAUGCUUACUUAUAAAUCUGAUUAUAUUAGAGCUCGGCAGGAAGCACUUGGUACUAUGAUCGUUGGAGGAACAAUACCGAAUCAUCUAAUCGAGGGUAAAUCAUAUUGAUAAUGUCCUUUUAACCAACCUUUCCAUUGAUCCAUUCCAUAACUGGAAAGUUUCUUAAGACUUAAUUCAUUCCGAAUUAUUCCCUGUUUUUCAAACGAAUGCUUCAAUUUCAGUUUUAGGCAAAUACAUAAAACUUCCAUUUCCUUUUGUGGAGUGGCUGGCUAGUGCCAGAGUGCUAGGAGGUGUCCCUUUGUUCUGUUUUAUAAUAAUAUUGUUGUCGUGGUUAUUUACAUCAUGCACAGAAUUUACUAUACUAAUUUGCAAGGAAAUCCAUGACCAAAAAAAAAUUUUUUUUUUUUUUUUGCCCUCUAUUACGAGAUAAUCUCACUCUCAUUUAGCUGCCGCAAAUUCAGAUUUUCUUUUUCACCUUAUCUAGAUCAAGCAUUUGAGGUUUCACUAAAGGCAUGGAUUAAGACAGCCCCGUUAUUUUAAAUUUAGCGAUUACCGCGUAAUGAGCUUUACUUCUGAAUACAGGUCCAUAAUAAUGGUUAAAACAACCUUCUUAAAGGUGCAGAUUAGUGACUUAGUGCUUGAAUUUUGGCAGGAGUAAAACUUUCUUCAAAGAUGAAUAGGGUUAAUUUGGCACUAAUUGAGGACUUUAUGAUGCAAAUGCAGGUCUAAAAGAAAUAGGGGUCGAUAAAAAUAUCAAAUUAUUUAUCCCAAAUUUGGGACAUGAGAGUUAUCACGGUACCUCCCGCGUAUUUCAUAUAUGGUUUGAGAUUCUAAUAUACGUUUUCACGUUAUACUAAAUUGAGUAUAAGACUGGAAACUGGAGCUAAUUUUUUUUUUUGUGACUUUUUUAUUUGCCAAAUUUGCCUUGCUCUUUAUAAUUCAAUUAACAAAAAAUAAGGAUCAAUUUUAUGAUUUCGUCAUGUUACUUAUUUUAAUGGGCAAUAAUUAAUUCAUAGUUUGACUUUUAGAUAAGACUUCAGAUUUUGCAUUCUUGUUUAUCAAAACUAUUUUUUUUUUCCUCUUGUGAAAGUUGAGAAUUUUUGUUAGGAUACAAAAAUCAAGCACAACUAUUUUAAUUUUUUUUGUGUUUUUUCGCAAAGUAUCAAUUAAUGUUGAUGUACAUGGGAUGAUUAGUUUUUAAGUCCCUUAGAUAUCCAUGUCCAAUAUCUCCAAAUUCUUUCAAUGUCGUUUUCUUCCUGUCUAAGAUUCGGUUUUGCUACAAAUUAUUCCUACGCUCAAAAUUCAAGUCAAGUAUAGAGAAUAAGAAGAAAUUCUAGUUGGAUUCCCUCAGAAAAUUUUUUUUAUUGUUAGUUAUAUUCCCUUUUUUUACUCCCUGGAUUCUGUAGGAGUGAAAAAAAGAAUAGAUUAGGGCUUUCUUCAACUGUCCAACGCUUAUCAUUUUUGCCAAUCCAACUCUUGCCCAAACUUUUUAUGUCUCUUGAAUUAACCUCAAAACUCUGAUAAUGAUUGCUGCAAUGCUUGUAAAUUUCUUUAGUCCCUAUAUUCACACUUAUCACAUUGUAAAUCCCAAAUAAUUGGUUGGGGACUAUAUAGCAAAUUGGUCUCGAUUCCAAAUAUUAAGAAAUGGUCAUGAUGCCUAUUUCUUAUAUAGUAAUAUUAUUUUAGAAAAUUAUUACAUUUUUAAUAUCUAACUCCUUUACAAUUAAAAAAAAAAACUACCGUACAAUUCCUAAGGAAUUUUACAUUACAAUGUGAUAAUAUUCAUCAAGUAAACUAGAAUGCAUAAAUAUAUAUUAGAAAAAGAUUUUCUCUGAGAUGCUUAUUGAGCUUUUAUAAUGAUUAUACACCUACAACUAUAUAAUUGCUUACUUUUAAAAAAAUAUUUUUUGAAAAUUUGUUUAUAAGAGAGAGAUGGAGGUUAAGAAACGGAAAGGGGGAAGGGGAUUUAAAACCGGGACCUCUAAGUCUUGUGGCUUCUUUGGCUACAUAUUUACAUUCAAUUAAACACUAAAAAAAACACAACAAUCCAAGUUUUCAUGAACGAUUCAAUCUCUAGAUAAAUUAAUAAACUUGCUGGUGUAACAGUUGAAAAAUCACAAUAAACAAAGUUACAACAUAUGGAUAAAAGCAACUAAUCGCAACAAAGUUGCUUUGCGUGCGUUGGUUUUCUUGAUUUAUAAUCCAUUCCAGCAACCUUUGGUGCUCAUGGUAGCUCUAGCUCAAGUGUUACCUUUGAGAAUUGUUAGAAAUGACUAGUGGGAACAUGAAAACUUCUUGUAGCAUGCAUCAAACCAUAGGACAAUCUGUCUACAGAAUUUUGGGAAUUGCAAGAAUAGUUCCUAAGCAUAUCUAUAUUGCUGCCUCUAGGACGAAUUUUUCAGCGUGCUAGUUUCAUGAUGCAAAAUUCAAACAUCUACCAAUUUUUUAUUUCCAGACUGAUUAAGAUCCGAUAAUUAGAGGUUUGAGCAAACAGGUUUUGAGAAGAAGACUAUAUUCUUCCAAUUAACGAGCAAGUUAAGCUUGGGAACAAUAGUUUCUCUGGGAUUGGUUGGAUUCUUCUGAUGAACAAGGAUGAAGAAAGUGUACCGGGCCAAGUUUGAAUCAGUAAAUUGCACUGUAUUGUCUGACUUUCGAGUUUGUCAAGUGACAGUAUCAGAUUUGCCUCGAUCUGUGGAUGCUUUGCUCUGAAUUUUGUGCUUUUCUUAUUGUUCAGGUUUGGAUCGCAUCAAGAGAAUCGCCUACAAUUGUAAUGCUUGGCAGAUGAACUUAAUUUCAAGUAAAGAAGCAUCAUGCUUGACAUGACUCGAGUGAACAGGCAGCACAUUAGAAGAAAAUUCUCCUCAUUACUGAGAGUGAAAAUAUAACGUUUAAAUCAGAGUCAUACUCGCAGAAAAUUAGAAAAGUUUGGAAAUGUAAAAGAGUGAACAGGCAAAAACUCGAGUUGUUUGUCAUUUUGGAUUUGCAAAAUCUCUAUUUUGUCUAGUCCAGUAGAAGCUAAAGCCACAAGGCAUUUCAUAAUUUCUACUGUUUCAUUCACCCGAACCCAUAAUAUCAACUAAAGCUGCCAUGGAGUAGACCGGGUCAAGUUCACAGUGCAGCUGGUUUUUAUUGCAGAAAAGGUUUGGCAUCCAACACCCAAGGAAAUCCAUCAAUGCCCUUCCACUUUCUUCUGCCACCAUUCCAAGAAUUUGGUCUGGGCAGCCACGGUAUUCAACCGAUAGAGCUGCAGAUGGUGGUUUGCGAUUUCCUGUCCAAAUGUCCAGCCAAAGACAGCCCCAGCAGCAAAAGAUAGCCCAGCACCUAGCAAGCAUAUCCAGUAGAGAAAGUGACAAAGUUCCUCUUCAACUAAAACAGUAUUUGAACUUUAUUAUGUUCAAACUCCCACAAAGACUCUUACUCAAACUAUGAAAACCCAAAAUAAUGGCCUACACUUCGUACUGUAUGCAGCCAUCUACAAGAAACAGCGACUGGUUUUGUACUGAAUGAAAGCAAAUUAAGCUCAUUUUCUAGUUUGUGCAUGUACCUUUGAGAGGAAGACGAGUUCCAGGCAAGGAUCAUUACACAAGAUAGAAAACAAGAAAAAGUGGAAACAAAAAAAACGUAUAAGAUUGUUUCUCCUUGCAAUUACUUCAGGAAGUAAGCAAACAAUAAACAGAAGAAACCAACAUGACAAUGUGGAUGACUAUCUCUUGACAGAAAGAAGUUACAGAGAACUGCCUUCAAAAGUAAUUGCACCAGAAAGCCAAAAAUACAGAACCUAAAGCUCAUGAAAACUUUAUUAUGUUUCUUCACUGCAAAUCAUUUUACAGCGCCACAGUUUAAAGCUGGUUUCAGCCAGAAACAGAUGUCAUCUACAUGAGAAUGCGGAAUUGUUCCAUAUCCAACAGCCUCUUCUUUCUUAUCUUAAAAAAAGGUCACCACUAUCGAGUUCCUAAGGUUUGACCAUCCGAAAGGUUUUAUUCCGAAAAGAACAGUGAAGGUAGGUUUAAAUUAUAACACAAAACACAACGCAUGCUGCUAAUACUGACAGAAGUUAGUCUGAGAAUCUCAAGGUCAAUGUAAAUUGGUUAGCACAUGAUCUUAAACCUCUGCAAUUGUUUACAGAAUACAAUUUGUCCUUGAUGACAUUAAUUGAGCAAAAUAUCCUCAUUUGAUAGUCUUGAUUGAAAAACCAACCCAAGAAGACUACACUACUGCAUGCUCACUAACUUUAAGCCAUGUACUUGAUAUAGAGUCAUGCAGCAAUACAUACAGCAAUCAUAUUCAGCUAAAAGUUUGUGAAAGACAAAAUAAGAAAUUUGAGGUUCAGUUACAUUUCCCUCCUGCAGAUUAAAGAGUUCAGUUUGCAGAAACUUUUGGAAUAUUCUGCCUGCAUUCUAUCAUAUUCUAACAUGCAGAAAGAUUUAACCAAAUAGAGCAUUCAUGCAAAUGAAACUAUUUCUAUCUGUUUAACAGAACCAUCUCCAUGGUACUAUACAAACUCGAGUUUACAGACAUUAUUAUCCACAUCAUCAUAGUUCAUUGGCAACUAAAGAGUGUUAAAGACAAAGGAAAUCAAAUAAGAAAUUACCAUGGAGACUUCUCGAGUAUUUCCACGCCCAGCCUGCUGUUGUAACUGCCCCUACAACACUGCCUACAGCACCAUAUUUAACAGCUUCACGAGCAGUUUUAAGCUGAAAGAUAACAAGACAAAAGGCAAACAAGUCUAGAAAUCAAUAUAUGAACAACAGCAAUAAUUACUAGGAAGAAGUUUAAAAUAACAAGUAUGACUUGAGAAACAACUCUUAAAGCAUUCAAAACUAUUUUAGGAGCAAGACCUAAAAUCUUAAUACUUCAAAAUCGUGUACCAAGUUUGCUGAACAGCACUAAAUAAAAUAAGCCAAGUAUACAAGAAAUGCAGGCAUUCUCGCAAACUUACUCAUCAAACACGGAACCAAAACAAGAGGAACAAAUGUACUUCGAUGCUUUUCUCGUCCUUAUAAAAAUACGGCAUACUGGUAGAUGACAUCUGGGUGGUUUUUCAAACUUUUUGUUUACAACUGACACAUGUAACACCCCCCCCCCUCCAACCCCCAUCUCUCCCUCUCUCCCCUGGAAGUUCUCUUGACUAAGAGGAUUAAUUCAUUAGUUGAAUUGAUCCACACAACACUUGCACAUAGGCAUGUGAGAGAGAGAGAGAGAGAGAGAGAGAGGGAGAGUGGACCAGAUUAAAGAGAGUAACAAGUCAAUCAGCAACUUAGUUGCCUGCAGCCAGUAAGGUUUAAAAUGCACUACUCAAAAUCUUUACAGGGAUUUCUAUCACUUCAGCAACUUCUAUACUUAAUACCACAUCACAACUUCUUGAAAAAUUUAUGGAACCUGCCAAGGUGGCUUAGAGGUAUUUAUGACCCCCAUAUUGUGGUUAGAUUCAUCAGCAUGACAAAAAAAUACAGACAAUAUGUCUAAGCCUUUGGACUAAGCUGAAAGUGGGAGGUCCUUUGUACUCCUGCUUUUCUUAGUUUUUCCAAUAAUUAUUGCAACAGUUUCAUGCGUACCUCUAGAUGAGAAAACGGAAACUGAUGUAGGACAUCAACACAUUCUGCUGAGCUUAAUGCCAAUGCUAGUAAUUAAGGAGUCAUAAAGUAAAGUGGGUUCCAGUCUUACUUUGAAUACUAAUUGACAGCAUGAAUGCCAGCUGGAUGGAAGGGGGAAUUAGGAAAAGAAUUAUUGAUGAUAAAGAUUCUGGUCGAGAAGAGAAAAUUGAUCUUGAGAUAUGCUUUCACAGAGGAUAAGUACUUCAGAUUCAAAACACACGAAAAAGGUAGAAACAAGAUACUAUAAAAAGUAUAAAAAUGAAGCAAAGUCACUCAAAGCAUCCAACUGUGCUACAAAAUUAACCAUGUAAGAUUAUACAAAAAAUGAUCUGAAGCAACAUAUAUUGCUUAAAUGCUCAAUUGCACGUUAUACCAAGCUUUUGGACUGCAAUUCAGCUUCCAAUACACAUAGAUGACCCAACUGUCAUUGAUACCUAAAAACUACCAUCAUACUUGUAUCAAUAAGAGAAAAAACAAACCAAGCUAAUUGAGAAAUGCAAAACUUGUUUGUGCUGAAAUUUUGGCUUACUACUUGAACUGAUUCUGAAAGGGACAAGUUAAUCAAAGAUGAAGGAACCAAGACCCAAUCACACACUUUGCGGGUAUAUAUCAUGUUAAUCCGCCAAAGAUAGAACUAUUGAACCAGAUACAUACAUUACAAGCUCCUGAGCCUAUUAAAUAAGCAAACUCCUAAUCCAGUAUUAACUAGAUUAAUGAGUGGCAUUGGUAUAGAACUUAUCCUAUCCCACUAACUUCAAUUAGAUGAUAAAAUUAAUAAGUAGUUAAUGGGAUAACUAUUGAAUCAGUUAAACACAUUUUGAGCUCCCCAGCCCAACAAUCAAGGAAAGCCCUCAUCCCACAUUGGCCGUGAGCAUAUAACUUCGCCACUGUGAAUAAUAUAACAGCAAAAACAGUGUAACUAAUUAUCUGCUAUCGCAAUAUCAAAUGCAAAAUAUCAUGUUGAUAAACUUCCAGAGCUUAUGCUUGUGUCAUUUCUACUCGGCAGAAAAUGGACUGUACGAAUGAACAAGACUGACCAUUUGAUCAUCCUUUUCCUAACCCAACCAGAUUGAAUAUUCUCCAUUUCCGUAUUUGCGAACUCAAAGUAGGAUAUCUUCAUAUUCCUCGAAGCAAUUUCCAUUUCAAACAACACUUCCCACAUUCAUGCAACUUCAGCCAAUCGAAUUUUACUCUGGUCUCAACUCCUUAAACAGAACAAAUACAAAACACGCCUACAAAUCUUCAAAAUCCCACCUUAGAAACCAAAAAACGAACACGAAAUUUCAAUUUCAUCAAAAACCCACCAACCUACUAGCAAUCAUUAGACCAAAAAGAGCAUAACAAACCAAAUACAAUCUGAAUCAAGAAAAGCCCAGAUGACAAAAUGAAUUUUUUAUCAACAAAAGAGGGGUAAUGAUUCAGGUGAAGAACAUACAACUGGUCCAUUAACAGGGUCAGAGGCAAUGAAUUCUUCAACAUCAGAAUCAGUCCAAGAGGGAAGAGGCUUCUCACGCUUGAUAAAUCUGGAAUAGUUGUUCAAAAGGAAAAUCUUUCACACCAGAACUCCUUGUAUCCUUCCCAGUGUUUCUUGAAGAAACCCUUUUGAGAUUCUGCCGCUUCAGCUUCAGCCAUGGAUUCAAUCUCUUGAUUGAUCAAUCAAUUGGUUAAUGGGUAGGCAAUAAUUUUGAUAAUUUUUGAUCUUUUUUAUGAAGAUAGUGAUGGCAGUACACCUUUGCCUUUGUGGGCUGCUGAUUAAGGUUGGGGAGCGUGGCGAAGGUAAGCCUGGUCUAAGUUUUCAACCCGGUUCAUCUGGUUCGAACAUUAUUAACUCGAAACAAUUCAUGCAGUAUUAAUUUAACUCCCUUAAUAAAAUCUCGAAAAGAAUCCCAGCUUUAAAUUAAUUUUGUUAUAGAUUUUUCAGUUUCCUUCUGUCAUUUUUUUUUCAUUUUUGGUUGUCUUUUCGAUUUCUUUGCUUUUCAUCUAUGUUGAACAAAUGCUCGUUGUGUUGUUAAAGGUUUUAGAUAAAGUUAUACAUCCUAAUCUAAAACUAAAAGAGAUUGAACAUGAUAAAAAAAGGAUAAUAGGAUGGGAGGGCAUCCUAUUUCAUAUUUCACACAUUAAUAUUUUUAGACUUUUAUAUUGUUUUAUUUUUUUUGUAAACAAAUAAAAUGAAAAGCACGUGUCUUUCCAUACUUAGCAAUAAAUCUACAAAGAUCUAUGCUCUAGGUUUUUUUUAUUUUUACGAGCCACUUUUUCGUUAAAUUAGUAUACAAACUAUUUUUUCCUACUUUUUAGUCAAGAGAAAAUCUUAGUAUUUUACAAAUUUAAAAAUGUUAUUAUUCUUUUUGUUUUCCUUCUCAAUCAAAAAUUUUGGCAUUUGUUACUGUAGAAUUUUUUUAAUGUGAUAAAUAUCAGAUUAAAAGGUGAUUGGAAAAAAAAAAUUUUAAAUAAUAAGACAAUUUUUUCUCCCGAUAACCAUAUCCAUCUUUUUCUUCAUUUAGUAACUUAUAUCCUUCAAAGGAUAUCUCCUUAAAUUCUAUGGAUUAGAUGUACAAGUUUCAAACCUACAGAAAACUUUAAUCCUAUCGCUCUUGAUGAGUGAAUGAUACAAAAAACUCCUAGUUGUUUACUGUCAAAGUGAGCAACGUUGUAGGACAAGUUAGCCAGUGAAUGUGUACACAAGCUAAUUAGAAUGUUUACUAGUCAAUCACCGCAUUGGUGAAUGCGUACGCGCCAAUGGAGAGACCCUGCAAUAUGGGAAAAGCUUAUGUACAACUCAACUCCCACCAGAUCCUAGGAAUACAUAUCAAGGCAAAUGCCACUGAAGAUAUGUUUCCUUUAUCAGUUUAACCUAUUCUCUUUCAAAUCCCUGAUCCAGGGUAUUCUUUUGAGAAGAGCAAGAAGCAUGAACUAGCUGUCUGAAUGCCAAAGAGAACACUAAACAGAGAGGCAAAUACAAUUGAGAAGCCAAAAUCUGUAGUGUAACAAGAAUCCAGUUUUACACUAGAAGAGAUCAUCUUAAGAAAGCAAUUGCUCAAAAAAAAAAAAACAACUGAAAAAGUGAUCAACUUUACAUAUAGCUGCAACCUUCAACCACCCUAAACUUCAGAACCAAAACGAGGGCGGCAAUGACAAAAACAUUAUUCACAACCGACGUCGAGUCAAACUGAUAGUAAAAGUCUUGACCAACUAAAUUUUCAUCUCUUCCUCUUGGACGCAGAUCCGGAUCCCCGUCCUCCACCUUUCUUUUCUGCAGGUUCAGAACUGCGUUUUCCUCUUGCUGAAGAUCCCUUCUUGGCACUCGAAUUUUCAGAACCUUUCAAGUUCAGUUGUACUUCAAUGCCUAAAAGUAUUCAGAGGAAAAAUAUCAGAGGCAACAAUAGAGAAAAAGCAAUGGCAUGCACUACAGGUAAAGACAGAAUGCCUGCUAAAGCAAUUAAAGAUCAAUUAUAGGAAUAAAAAUUAGUGGCUUGUAGGAAUAAAAUUACCAACCUUUCGACUUCAGGCUUUGGAGAUCUGCUUGCAGCCCUUUAUCUGUAUUAUCUGAGUCUUCUGCCGCAGCACAAGGAAAAGUCAGUAGCUUGAUUAUUUGAAUUUCUGAAAACUUAUAUACUACAACACAAGUAUUUUAGAUGAAUUAAGGCAACAGCGACAGACAACCGUCAGAAUAUUGGACAUUCAGAUGUUCCACUUCCUAAAGCAAGGACUUCCAAGGCAGAUGAGAAAACGACUAUACUGAUUGAUAGUCAAAUGCAUGCUUGCCCGGAGCAGCACACAAUUCCCAACAGCUAAAUUCUAUUAAACUGUAAUCAAUUAACAGAGUCCAACUUUAAAAGUUUCUCAGAGAAGCAAGACAUAAGCAUAUAGUACACAUAGUUGCACAGUAUUUUCUUCUCUCCCAUGUUUGUUUUCCUUUUUACCAUAAAUUAUUCUCUGGCAAAACCUUCUUUUUUCUGCAGGACAAUUUUUGGCUCUUUGGUUCUUUCUCCCCAGUUGUUUUCCAGAAAAUGGGGAAAGAGGACAAUUUUUUUUUUGACAUUUUAAAGUCAAGAUGAACUCAGAAUAUAGAUCAAGAGUCUGGAGAAUUGCCCUGGCUGUACAAAUUAGGCUACCAAAGUACACACAAUGCAUCCAUAAGCUUACAUAUUCAACUAAUAUCAAAAGAUAGAUUGUUAAUUAAGUGCAUGCUUGUUUAGCAACAGUUAUGUUAAGCACUAGAGACCUUUUUCAAUGCUCAUACUCAAGAAAUGAAUAAAUACAUAAACUUUGAGAAACAACCAAAAAAAGCCCUUUUGAUCUAAUAUAUUCUCUUUAAAAGACUUCCAUAUUGGAAGACAUGUCAUGCCACAAGAGGAGAAGUUUUGGCACAACAAUUGAGUCAUGCAAAGAAAUCUUCUUAAUGGACUUCUUUUAUCCAUUUUUUGGCUGGAAAAGGGAAAAUUGAAGAGGGAAAAUACCCAAGUCUUCUGCGUCUGAAGAAUUCUCUUCAUUUUCUUCUAAUGCAUCACCAUUCUCCUCUGCUAAACUUUCUUCCACUGGUUCCAGCAUUGCAGCAACCCGUUUCUUAAGGGCCUUCUUUGUCCCAGGAACCAUAUCUGCAGUCUUAAUCACAUGUGAGCUGCUUCCAUCUCUUUUCUGGACAGUCACCAUAUCCGCUGUCCGAAUCUUACGUGAGUCCGUCCCUAUUUUGUAAGCCUUUGUUAGAGCAGCUUUGACAGCAGGCUGAACUCCAUCCAUAGGACUUGGAUGCCCCUGAUGCACAUUGAUAAUGGACUUAUAAGUAGCAUUUUCGAGCAAGUAAAAGAAGUAAAGCAAAGUACAUGAUGUACACUAGCUAUACCUUGAACUUGGAUAUCUCCAAUAUAGUAUCAAAAUCUUCCUGACUGAUGGAGUAUGAAUCCAUGAAAUUUACUACCUUCUCUACAGCUUCAUCCUGGUGAUUAUACUCAGAAAAUAUUUUCACAACCAAUUUUACAUGUAACUCGGUUAUAAUAACAAAGGAAAGAACAUCAAACCUUGGGCAGCACUCGUACUGGAUGGGUCAACUGCUUAGAAAGAAGAGUAAGGUAGUCCAAUCGCAAUGUCGACCUGAAACAUUCAAGAAACAUAAUAAUGAAGCUCCACUGUUGAGAAGUAAAACAACUUUUUUCUAUACUCAUCAUAGCUGAAAUUAUACCAGAGAAGCAGCAUAUAGACCAGAACAUUAAAAUAGAAAAGAAACUACAAUCAUUAGUCUACAGAUAACCAGAUAAUCAAGUCCACAAGAAGAACAAGUUUGAAGAUCAGUCAUUAACAUCGAAGACUUGAAAUGCCACACACAGUGCCCCUCAUCCCCAUUUAAGAAAAACCUUUUACUCCAGCCAAAUUUAGCCAAGACUGAAAAUAUAAAUAACCAACCAAAUGUAUCUCACUCAUAACUUCAAAAUACAUUAACCUAUUGAAGUACACUGAAAAAUAUACCUGCCCAAAUAAGAUUCACGAGAUGCAAGUAGAUGGACAUGCAUGUCCUCUAAAAGUCUGUAAUUCUUUCCCAUAGUGGAGUUCUUUCCCAGCCAGCCACCAAACCUAUUGAAGUUGCGCUCUCCCUGUAAUCAAUAGACGCAACUAUUAGUCCAUACUGGUUAUGUCAGAAUAAUUUUCCUGCUAGCAAAAACUCGUACAAGAACGUCAACAUACAUGACAAAAAGUCACAGGAGGAUACAACCAAAUUAGGACAGUUAUUGUCCUCGGGUUGAAAUUAAACCAUAAAUCAGGAAAAAACAGAGCUUACUCCAAGACAAACAUAAAAUCUCAAGAAGGAUCAUUCUAAGUUCCAGCAUGUACUCGUGUAAAAAAUCCUCAUAAAUCAAGAUACUGAGCAAAAGGGGCUGAACAUACCAUUAAGUAUCAAUAUUGACAAAUUAAAUGAAAAUCUAAUGUGAUUUGGCAUGUGGCAGACUGCACUAAAAUCCAUUCCAGCUAUUUAAAGAGAAUACUCAGUAACACAACUUUAAAGAGAAAUGGUUUUUAAUUUGGAAACCCCACUGAGAAAAGGAAGCAUUGUCAAUACAAGUCGAAAUAUCAUAAGGAAAGACUCAUCACCUGCUCAAGUGUUUCUCUUUGCCCAUGUAACAAAGAAGCACUACAGAAGAAGAAAGGAUGAGUUCAUUUAGAAAGAAAAACCACAAAUCAGAUGAAAAUGGGAUGAAUCUCAUUGAGUCAACUAAACACUUUUGUAGAAAACUCACGGUAUUAUACAAGAUGAAAGGGAGCUAGCUUGAGAGAGCUGCCACUGUUGAUAUCUUCGAAUCUGUACAUUCAUAAUAUCACCGUUGGCAAUUGACUCAGCAGCCCGGGCAAGGAGACUCAUCCUUUUCAAACCAUUAUCAUCUUUCCCAGCUGAACUUGGCCUAUAAUUGAUAUAGUUCUCCUGCAAUUUUUUUUUUUAAUAAAAGAUGCAUGAAACCAUGCAAGUAACAUUUGAAUCAAUAGUUUGACAUGCCAUAUAAUGGACUCAUAUCAUGCUUAGAAGUUCAUGAAAACAAGGCUUAGGGCCAAGAAUGGGCACUAUAUAGAAAGAUUAAUUAUUUAAGCACAAGGGUAAUUUGUCCCCAGUGACCAAUCAAAAGAAAACAAUCUGAUCGCGAACUCCUGUACAUUUCAGAAAACGAACGCUAUGUCAGGGAAACAAUUCUUACAACCUUAAACUAUUAAUACUCUUACAAAAAUGUGAAUAAAAAAUAUUUUCCAUCCAUAAUAUUUUGCUCCAUAUUAAUGAUUCAUGGGUACAUGUAUGAUCCCAUUUUUUAAAAAAUUCAUCUGUUCUACAAUUUUAGGCCCUAUUAUUUUCACCUUCAAAGUGAUAAUUUAUAUGGGUUCACCCAAAUUCUGCCACCAAGUAUCAUUACAAGAGAUGUUUGCAACUAUUGCAUAUUAUAUUAGAGUGACUAGAUACGGAUUAGUAAUGUAAAGAAGGAUCAUUUAGUCAAAAAUUAAGGUCCUCAGAUAUUAAGAAUGUGUUUUCCAUAUAAAAAGCAUGCAGUCUAAAUUUAUACAGUUACAAGAUCAUAAGCUUCAAAGCUUCCCAUCACAGCUAUUAGGUUCUGCAGCCAAUCUAAAAAGAAAGUUGAAAUAAGCUACUAAUCAAAAUUGCAAUUUACGCAUUUCUGAAAAUUAUAUCAUGCCUAUAGCUUUUUUCCUACUUCAAAGCUUAAAAAAACCAGCCAGUCAACAUAAGUUAUGAUGUAGGCAAAAUUUCUACCUGAACAAGCAGAGGAACAAGAUCAGGAUCACUCAUGCUUAAAUCAAAACGUUCAUCCAUCCGCAAUUUCCCAGCAUUAAAACCAAACAACCUGCAUGUGCACAGUAUAAGAGCAGCUUCUAGAAGGCUGACACUGAACUCAAUUGUUAUCAAAAUCUAAAUCAGAGAAAAUUGGACCACCGCAUACUGCAUGUUAAAUAUGAUGCAGAAAUAAGAAAGUGGUUUAGAGGUAUGGCACAGGCUUACAAGUAACAAUAUACACUCUCUUUAAUUUGGCAAGUCAUAAACUUGUCAAUCAAGAUUUGCUUCCCAUAAACGAAAGGCUUAUGAAUCAAGCACGGACAGUUUAAAGAUUUUGAAACUGUCAGUCAACAAUCAACGUCAUCCACAAGAUUUAUUCAGUGGCUCCUCAUGAUCUUGGUUGAAUACUGUAAACUUGGAAAAAGUAGUAGAAAAUUAAACAUCUUGCAAGCCAGGAUAUUUCCAGGUGAGCACAAUUAUACCAUUUCAUCUACAGGGGCAGAAGUAAUGUAAGAAAAAGUACAUAUUAAUUACUUCCAUAUCAUCUCAAACACUGGAGCAAACUGAAAGGACUUUAAACUCAUAUAAUACUUAUUUCUGGAUAAGAAUAAACAAUCCUAUCAAAUACUCCACUACAUCAAAAGCAAAUGAAGAUUCAAGACAUAACCCACACUUCACAGAUGCAUAUAAGUUUUUGGUAACUACAAAAAUAUCAUGCUUCACAACAACAAAGUGAAUAGUUCCUUGCAAGAUACAGACAUGGAAAAAGUGAAACAGAAUGUAAAAGUGGGCUAUCUCAAUAAUUUCUAAUAAUUAGUUUAUUAAAUGUUCUCAAACAUGUCAAAUCCAGCGCAGUACACAAUCUAUUGCUACAAUUUAGGAUUUGUGAAGUAAAUGCCCGUACAAGGCUACAUUUUUACUGCUUAAAUGCUAAGCAUUUCCUGGUGGUAGACAUCAUCUAAUUCUGGUAACCCCAUAAUGAUGCAAUUAGUAUGUCAUAUCAAAAACAUUAAAAUAUAAGCCAUAAUGAAAGUGUACUACAACCAAACACCUAAAGAAGCACUAAUGAAAAGAUAAAAUUAUAAUUUUUUUGUAUGAAAAGGAAAUAAAACAAUACUAGCACAAAAGUGGCAGAAGAAACAACUCACUGACAAUAUGUAGAUGUGAGACUGUAAUUAUAAAAUGACAUACUUAUCAACAGCCACAAAAGGCGAAAUAUCUUCAUCUUUUGAACUGCUCUGAAGGCGUUGCCUUAUGUCAUCAUACUUAAUGACUGACAUAGAGAGGCUCAUGUACUGCAAAUGGUUAAGUGCCAUGCGCAUAUCUCCAUUAACUCUUUCUGCCAAUUCCUCAAGCGCAAUCUAAAGAUAAGAAGCACCAAGCAUCUCAACGUGUUGACUUUAGGAAAACUUCACAGCCAUAGAAGAAGAUUCUAAGAAAAGAGAUGAUUAUGAAACCUCUAGCCUUACAAAAUGACUAUGAGGUAUGAAAUAGUAUCUUUGUGAUAUAUCUAAUCUUUCUUUCCUUAUUUCCUUUCUCUUUCAAUUUAGCCAACUUAUCAUACUUUUUUCUGGAAAGAGUAUUAUUCUUUUGUUACUGUGCAUAGCAUUUUCUUGGUUGCAUAUCAGAGAAAUAUAAACGUCCAGAUAGAUUUGCAUAGGGUUAGACAGUAUUCUAAAGGAUUUCCCUUUGAAGAUACAGCGAGUGUACUACUAAGGUUGCUCAAUGCUCUUUUCAUAUGCAUUAGAUACUUAUCAACUCCUCCCCAGGGGAACAAAAAGAACUGUAUCCCUUAUUUAAGGCAAUUGUAGACACAGAUGCAGGAGAAUAAUAUCAUAUAGCUCAAAAAAUUGAAAUGUUUUUGGCAUUAGCAAUUGUAACAAAUAUUUACCUAAUACUUAUGAAAAAAAGGAAACUAUGCGGCAUAUUUAACGAAAGAGAAAGUAAGCAAAGCAUCAGAAACCACCAAUACUUCACAAUUUGUUGGCUUUAACAUUCUAUUUGCUCGUUAGGUUCUGUACUAUGGGAAAUACAAGAAACAAAAAGCCCCAGUAUUUGCAGAACAUACAGGAGCAUCAACGUCAAAUUUUUUAAUUCAUGUGCCAACAAAAUUGGAAAUAUUAUACUUUUACUGACAAGAAAUUCAAACUCAAAAAGUACAACGAGAAAAGGCUUAUGAGCAAAAUACCUCAUUAACUUGAAGACCUUCAGCAUUUGCAACAUGCAAUAGCCUCUUUGCCAUCUGUCCUUACCAUAAUCUAUCAGUAACUUUUCUAGGCAACUAAAUAACAAAAGUAAUGUACGGAAAAAAAAACAUCAAAACGGUUGUAUAUUAUCAAGCAUGAACCUUCAACUAACUAGUAGCUAGAAAUCAUAGAAGUCACCUAGAUAACAACAAUAUCUAUGCACUCAAUGCAUUAGCAAAAAAAAACCAUUAUUGAGUAUACCUUUGUGAUGAUAAAGAAACACUUGGUUAUGUGUAGUUUAUAGAGCUACUUGUAUAACAAGGAGAAAUACUAUGGUUGAUUGAAGUACUAACUCAAGCAUACAGCUUAAUUCCCUAUUUAAGAAACAAGUCUCCAGAUUUUAUUAUAACCACCAAAAACUCAUUUAGCAGAUGCAUAAAAGACACUUCCCAGUUUUGUGCCAAAGACAACCAUCAGCUUCUAUUACUUGGCAAAAAAAAAAAAAGAGGCCAGGGUAGUUUCUAAGCAGCCUAAAAACAUUUCACAUAUCUGUGUUUCUCUAGUAAUCUCUUCAUUGCAAAUUAGAAAGUUUAUUAGUUUGACCAAGCACUCUGUGUCCCAAGACAAAAAAUGAAAAGGAGUUGAAAAUGUAUAUUAUUCAAAUCACCAUCUUAUUAAAAGACUUUUGCAUGAUAUACUCAAAAGUACAAGCAUAUAUACUUUGAAAAUCAAAAGCACCAAAUGCAUAGACUUUCAAAUAUAUCUAUAUCCACUUAUGUGGCCAGUCUUUCAAUCCAAUAGUUGCCUUUCAUAUUACGUAUUCUUUUACAGUCUUAACAAAUGCUAAGCUGCUGAUAAAAAAUCAUCAGACUAUUUUCAGCUAAAUAAAUAUUUGUUAUGUACAAAUCUUCAUGUUCGAAAUACUAGCUAUAUAUGCCCAAAAAAAACUUAAAUUAAAUAAACUUUCACACCUUAUUAAGCAUGUUUCACUACUAAAAACCAAACAUAGAAUACCUGUUUUCAUCUAGCAUGCUUACGUGUCUACUGUUCUGUAUUGCAUCAUUCAAUUUUAUUAUUCACUCAAAACUUUGGAGUCGACUAUAUUUUCAGUCAACAUCCCUCAAUUUUCACAUCCUAUAGCGCAUUACCAACACUAUCCAAGUUUACAUCUAAGAUCAUCAAAACCAUGUUCUAGCUAAGCCUUCUAGCAAAUUAGAAAGAAAAUAACCUCACUUCAAAAUUGUCUUUCAUGCACAAAUCAGAGAAGAGAGUAAAGUACACACUUAAGGUAUAGAAGGCACCUGUUGCUUUGUGGGCUUCCGAAAGCUAAGAAGCAAGCAGUAGUUCACAAGACUCUUUAGCUUCUGGCUGUAGCGAUCAUUACAGAUACAGAUUAUGGGAAUGCUAGAAAUCUUGAUACUAGCAAUAAGAUCAGCCACACCACCUCUAUCACCAGCAGACAUGCCAUCCACCUCAUCCAUGAUUAAAACUGUUUUUGGAUGCUGAGAGCUGCAAUAUUAUUAACCAAUGUAAAAAGGCACUUUCUUUACUCCAUAUUUGAAUAGUUAAAAGAUUAGAAACUGACCGCUCCAUAUUAAGGCCAAGUCCUUCAUUACUAAUAACCUCUUUUAUUGAAUUAGCAGUGCUCCCACCAAUUCCUUUGCCAAUUUUGGCAUCAGCCUUUCCACGGUUGUCGCUAGCAUUAACCUAAACCAAAUAAAAAUUGCAUAGUGACAGGAUCCAUAAAAAUAAAACAAUUUGACAAUAUGUCAACGAGUGCAUGCAUGUCUACCAAAAAUGCUUCAUCUUGAAUAGGCAUAUAUAAAGGGAAGCAAAGAGAAAAAACAAAAGAAUGUAACUUAUGUGCAGAGAUGUAAUUUCUUGUGACAACCUAGGACCCAAAAAAAUAAAAAUAAAUUUACCACUACACUGAAGAUUUGGCCUCGAUAUCUAUUGCAUGUGAAACAUAAAAACCUAUAGAGAAAGACCAAAAGCAAGCAAACUACACGUCGAAGAUGUCAUUUCUCCAACAACCUAGGUCACAAACAAACAAAAUUUACCAGUACACUAAAGUUUGGCCUUAAUAUCUAUUUCAUGCAUAAUAUAAAUAAUCACCAGAGCUUUACCUCAAUUGUCCUGAAACCCAGCAUCUGACUAACCAACUUUGCUGUUGUAGUUUUUCCUAUACCAGGUGUACCACUUAAUAGAACAGCCUUCUUAGCACCAGAGUCAUUCUGUUUCUUCCCCCAUUUUUGCUGCUAGUUUUCAGAAACUGCUCAUUCCAACUUCUUAGCCAAUCAUGAAGUUGCUUAACCUGCAUGGAAUUUCAACUAAACAACCAGUUAAAACCUCUUAUGCGGAACACAUUUUUAUACAGAUGUUUAAAGAUCGAACAGAAACUAACAGAACAGAUGUGCGUACCACUGACUGAUUCCCAAUGAUGUCAUUUGGUACCUUUGGUCUGUACUUUUCAGUCCAAGGCAACCAAGCUUCUUCUGUAGCUUGACUUUUCAGCUUUGCAGAAGUGACACUGGCACUUGAGCCUUUGACAGCUGCACCUUUUGUGGACAAGCUGCCUACAUGAUCUUGUAGCAAAAAACAAAUUGCCAAAGAAUUUGAGAUCCUCAGAUUUAUUGUGGCAUAAAAGCUAUCAAAAGUAGUUUGACCACAAUAGGAACAGGAAAUGUAAGAGUUAAACAGCACCUUUUUUCAUCAGCAAUAUCAUGAUGAGUACAAGUAAGCAUUAGGACCUCGUUAAAUAUUAUGAUUGCUAUUAACUGUCAGCGACUCCAUAUAUUAUAUCUAAAGAUCAUUCCAUUCCAUUAUUAAAAAAAGGAACCCUUUAAUUGAAGUGCAUGACUACAGGAUGAGUAAAAACUUAAACAGCAAAAAACACAACAAGUUCUACUUCUUUGUAUCAGUCAAAGCAACUUGAAUAGAAAACAUGCGGCCAAAGGCCAGAGAGAAACAAGAAAACAACUUAUUAAAUCUUAAAUAAAAAGCCAUAAAGUGAUACAACAGAUGACCGCUAUACCAAAUUAUCCAGGACAUAGGGAAAAGAAGCAGUAGAACACCGUACUUAUGUAACCCUAUCAAAACCAGAAUCUAAAUGCAUCCCAUCCUACAGAUCAAGAGAGUAAACAUAGAUCUAAUAAAGAAACCGAAAUUUCAUUUCAAGCACUCUAUGUCAUCUGACAUGACCACAAAGUUGAAGCUUUCUGUCUCUUGAAGAUAGCAUUGUUAAUCAAAGAAAAUAAUAUGGCCAGUAGAACCCAAAAGCCACAGACUGGCAAAGUGGAAAAAAUAAGAAAGUUAAACAUUGUCAAGCUCACAAUUUUUGUUCAACAUAUUAGAGACAAAUGAAAUUGUAAUCAAGGGCCUACUCUUUGAUGCUGGCGUUGGAGUACUUUUCUUCGAAGAAGGAAGAACCUUGUCCACUGGUUUCUUUAAUUCUUGUGGUUCAGUUGUUUUUGAUUUAUUUGAUUUGCGAAUCAUAUCAAGCAACCCAUCCUCAGUAAGAAAAGCAGUCCUACAUGCCACAAAAAAAGACAAAAAUGAUUAGAUACAUAAGGAAAUUGGAAAAUUAGAACGCCGAGGAUAGAGUAAGUACAACAGACCCAAGCUCUUUUGCUUUAGUAGAUUUCCGUCCCUCAAUAUCUUCAUCACACACAAGAUAAUUCUGCAGAAACAAUGUCCAUUACGUGCAAGAAACUUUAUGCCAGACUAAAGAAAGAAAAACUAGUAACAACCGUCUUUUUGCUGACAGAUCCAGUAACCCGACCACCAUAGCGUUUGAUUAAGGCCUCAGCAUCUUCUCUUUCCAAGCUAGAAGGACAAGACAUCAUAAUGGCAAACCAAGGUCAACACAUUGCAAAACUUUCUUACUGAUAUCUAAAAUGAGUGUAAACACCCUGAAAAUGAGGCACUCUAGAAAGCAAUCUUAAGUUCCAAACUGAAGCAUUAUAGAGAGCAACUUAAUUUACACCCACAUUGUACAUGAUUGGAAUCACGUAAAACAGCUCAGGAGAAGUAAAAUGUACAAAAAAGUCAAGAGAUGGAGUUCAUACAAGCAAGCGUGACUACAUCCACAUAGAUAUGGUUCUCAUAAAAAAUAAACUGCCAGUGAGACGAAAGGCAUACCUGUCCAGCGUACCACUGAUUACAAAGGUCAAACCAGUUAAACAGUCGGUCGCACCUUCAGGAAUUUCCUGCCAUAAAGAGAUCUCUGAUCAGUGUGAACAAGAAAAAUCAGGGCAAAGCAGUCAAGAAAUGUCAAUUGCAGCACCUUUUCUCCUUUAUGCGGAGGAUCUUUCCUUUCACCAAAGUUCAUAAAUCCACCAUAACCUCCACCACCUCUGCCUCGUCCACCACUUGGCGUGGCUGAUGAACCUCUUCCACCACGGCCUCGUCCACCAGGUUUAGCAGAUUUACUCUCCUUAUCACCAGGCUCAUCUUCAUCACUUUCAUCAACAACCAUCCCUUUUCUGCUUCCUGGAGCUGUUAUCCCACUUUUUCCACCACGCCCUCUUCCUGCCGGCUUUGAAUGAGAUUUUGUCCCUAUGACAUCAUCCUCAUCACUUUCAUCGACAUCUGCAGACUUUCUUGCAAUUCCUCUUCCAGAACCACUUUUUAAUUUCUUGAUAGGAGUAGAAACCUUCCUUGGAGUAGUAUCAACAAAGUCUUCAUCAUUAUCAUCAUCCUCAUUUUUGUGCACUUUCUUCCCUGGUGGCGGCUUCACAUCACCGUGUAUCUCCUUGCUAGCCAUUGGGGCCUUCCUUUUUGCUGAAAACUCCUCUAUUUCCUUCGCAUCUUUAGCGUUCUGCUUAUCUGAAGCAAAAUAUUUGCUAGUUUUCCUUCUGCUGGCACUUUCUUGCCCUUCUUUUACCUAGAUUCCACAUACAUAUGAGAAAAAUUAUCAUCCAUUUUACCAUGUCUAUCAAUUAUAACAGGAAAGUAAUAAAUAUAAUGAUCAGAAAGAUCACCAGCCAACCUUUAUUCUUUUUUGUUGGUUUCUUCACCAUAAUAUCAUCAUUAGACAAACCCCCUAUUUCUCAGUUUUCUGCUUUUCACGACUACAACAAACUAAAUAUAUCCAUCCAAAUAAUCUGACUAAACCAAAACUAAACUCACAAGAACUACAAUACCAGGUAGAAUUACAACAUACCGAAUCAUCCAGAUGUGAAGCAGCGACAGCGGGCUUCUCUGCUGUUUUGGGCUUAGCAGCAUUGCCAUUUCCAGCGCUGCUCUUUUCAUGUUGCUUCAUGAACCACUUCCUUAUAUCUGACUGCUAUUGAAAAUUACAUUAUUUACACAUAAUUACUAAAAACUAAGUAAGAGAGAAAUAAACAAAAAAUGAAAAACAAAACUCAUCAAAUUAAUUAAAACUUAUUUCAAGAAGCCACCUUUAAUUUCCAAAAUAAUCACAUACAUAAACGCCACUUCGACAUCUGACUGCUAUUCAAAUUCUCCAGACCAUUUGUAAACUCAUAACAGAAAAUAAAAACAACCCAUAACAGAAAACAGGAAUAAUUUCAAGAAAAAGCUUCUUCUUUCCCAUAAAGUUACAAACUUUCACCACAUUAAUCAACGCCAUUGUACUAAUAUUCAGAAACUGCAAAGAAAAUAGAAACCCUUUACUCACCAUUUUCCUACUACUGUCUUAUUGCUCCAAUUUUCUUUCUUCCAGAAAUCCCGACUGAAAAUCUAGCACAAAAAGAAAAUAUUAACAAGUAUUCUGAGCAGCAAAAAUGUGCAUCCAAUGGGGUAGUAGAGCUUUUGACUAUCAAACAACAAAACCCAUAAAAAUUUAUGCAUGAAAGGGGAAGAAGGGUUCGAAAUUUAGUGAAGGUAGGCUGCAGAAGAACCUUCUUUUGCAGGAAACGGGUCGACUUGAUCCUACUAUUUUAAGCGGGUUUGGUCAGUCACCAAGAGAGAGAGUAGGAAAGAAUGGUGCCUUUUUUGGUUUUUUCAGGGAUUCCAGAGAGACCCGCCAUUUCAAGAAAAAGUUAAAGAAAUAAACGGCUUGGGCCAGGAUCGACCCGAUCCAAAUUCAUCACGGGGCGGCCCAGCAGUGUUUGUUAUCUAACUGAAAAGGAAAUUUUGGAAUCUAUCAAAUCCGGGCGAGCAAACGGUGGUCUGUACCGCAAUAUCGCACUACCAAGCAAUACCUUAGAUGUUUAGCUGGGGCAAAUCCAAUUGUGUGAUUUUUGUAAACACAUUUUUAAACAAGUAUUUAGCUAUCAUACGUCAAAUCCUUAUAGUAUAUUUUUUAAUAAAAUUUCUAAAAAUAGCAACCCAAGCAAACAUAUAUAUAUAUAUAUAUAUACACACACCCUCACCAAUGGCAGGUAUUUUCCAAGAGUUAUUGUAUAUGCUUUAAAUUCUACUUGUAUGUUUUGAUUUUUAAUUCCAUGUGCUUGUUUGCAUGUUUAUAGGACUUUAUUUAUGAGUUUGAUUUACAAUUUAUCUUUAAUAGCUUUUUUUUUUAAGGAAAAUAUAUUGUGAAGAGAUUAGGAAUAACAUGGUGACAAUUGGCAUUUAGUUAAUUCAGAUUCAAACGUAGUAAUAUAUCAAAGUGAAUCGUAUCGUGUAUGUUAAAUUAAAAUGGUGUGAUAGUGAUAUGUAAAGAUAGUUUUUCAACUUACAAAAGUAUUUGAUUUAUUCCAUUAUUGUGAUUACGUACAUUAAUAUUGAGUUUUUAGUUGUGUAGGUUGACCUUAGCAUGCUUCAUAUAGUAAAUAAUUUCAAUAUACACACUUUCCAAUUAAAUUCCAAAAACGGCCAUCCUUUUUAGCAUCCUUCGCAUUGCUUUCGGUUUCUCCUCAAUUAUACAUUAUUAUUGCUCUGAUAAGAAGAGAAAAACAUCAUAAUGUUAACUUUCAGGGAAUCAUAUUAAAUAAUAUAAGAUACUAGUUGUUAGUGACAUUUCAUUUUCAAUCUAAUCUAAUUGUUACAAAAGGACGUUUAGCAAUAUAUGUUGUAAGAUACCACCUAUUUGUAUAUUGUGAGAGUUGAACUCCACUUUAUCAAGAUUACGGCCCGUUUGUCAAGUGAAUUUUUUGGAUGUUUGUUUAAAAUUUUAUUGUAACUUACUAUAGAAGUUGUAAAAAAAAUUUUGUAAGUAUGUAAAUUUUUUGAUAUUUUGAAGUGUAUAAUUUUAAAAUUUUUAAAAAAUUUUUGAGAUUAUUGUAGCUAAAUUUGUUAAAAAAAAAUUUGUAGCACGUAAACUUGACCAAAAACGUGCUUGAUCUUCUUUAGCGUGGUACAGGUGUCCUUACCACAAAAAUGGUAAAUAUUACACCGACUAAACCAAACCACUACCAUAUGCACUGAUUGGUCACAUCAAUUUGAUACGCAUUGAGGAUGCUGAAAGAGGCCGUUUGGGGUUGCGAAUUUGUAAUUCCAUAUGUACCAUGCAUUUGUCAAUUUCACUAUUUAUUCACUUUAAUAUAUUUUCUUGAAUUAGCUAGUUUUGCUAUUUAUUCGCUUUUUCAUCAAAUGAAAAUAGUUUUUGUUUUUAUUCUUCUAUUUUUUUCUCACACCCUUCCAACCCCCCAAUUGUUAGGUAUAAGAAUCGAACUCUAAAUCUGACGGUAGAAAAGGUUCUUAUAGUCUUUUCCUUCUAUAAUUUGAAAAUGAAAAUGGUAUAAUGUUCAUUAGAGGUACAUAUACAUGGAAGUAAAAUUCCAUGUGUUUGAUGCCUUAUCUUGUUUGUUUUAGAUUUUACAAAAUUUGAUUAUUCAAAUUACUUGUAACCUAAUGAGACAUGCAUAUCAAAUUGCCAAUAAGUAAUAAAUACAAAAUAACUAGAAUACUAAAUCCAAUAUUUGACAUGCAAGUUCCCCAAAAAAAUUGCAAAAUGUGCUUUUCUCUUAUUCCUAAUCAUUUAUGGGUAAAGUGCAUUGUACCCUACUAAACUUUUCCAAAUUCUCAUUGAAACCAUUAAACUAUUUUUUUGUGUCAAUCAACCCACUAAACUAUUGAAAAAAUUUAGUUAGCCUAUCUAGCAUAUUGUCCGGUUAAGUUAGACGGAGUAUUAUUUGAAAUAUUAUUUGAAAUAAUUACUGUAGCACUGUUUAUGAUUUGAUGUAUAUGAAAUAAAAAGUAGCUGGGAAUAUAAAAAGGUGAUUUUAUGAUACAAGCGAAAUAUUAUUUGAAAUGAAUUUUGCAAUCCAAACACACACUGAUCAAAAAAUGAGUUAGGCUAAUGAGAUUGAGGAUUUGUGAUUGAUUAUGGGAAUGGGUGAGGAGAAAUAUCAUUUUUGUCCGCAUGUCUCUCACGUGAAUACAAAUUCAUCUAAUUUAACCGCAUAAUUUGAUACAGUGGAUUGAUUAAAACUUUUUAAAAAAUUUAGUGGACUAAUUGACACAAAAAGAGUAAUGGUUUUUGUGAGAAUUUGGAAAAGUUUCAUGGGCUAAUUGACACAAAAAUAGUUUAAUGGUUUCAGUCAGAAUCUGGUAAUGUUCAUCAUUUAUCCACAUAUUUAUUGUUCAACCCUCUUGUCAUCGAAACCUUUCUUCACUUUUCGUAGUUUUGUUUUAAGCCAUUGGCGCUUUCGUGCUUCUUGUCUCAACUGCAUGUUCAUUGUCUCUAUCUCCUUAGUCGUAAACUACACCAUAUAACCGUUUUUCAUGUUUUCAAUUCUUGAUUUUCCCAUUCUUUUUUAUCAGUUUGUGAGCCCAGUCAAUCCUCACGCGAGUGCUAAAACCACCAUGGGUAACCCUGUUUUUUUCCUUACGUGUCGUUUCUCCAUUGAUCUGUCAAAGCUUUACCAUCAAAAUGAUAUUCCACAUGUUAGACAAACCGGGCAUAGUACUUCUGAAACACUAAACAAUUUUGCAUCUUCUUUCCUUGUUUGAGGGAAUUCUUUUUUUUUUUUUUUGUUGCGGCCUUUAUUCAAUUAACGACAACUUUUGUGGUCCAAAUGCAAUUUAGCCAAUCAAAAAGAAUCUACAAAUCCAAACGCGUGCGGUGUGCGUUAAAUUUUUUUAAAACCGAAUCCACUGUGGCUUUUGCCAUUAGGUGCCCUCUGCAGCUGCCGCUGCUCAAAGUAGUUUUAAGUGCCGAUUCUCCUCCUCCUUUCAGUGCUCAGUCCGACUGCCAUUCUGGAUACGUCAGUCUCUUCAAGAUAUCAAAUUGUUACUGAAUAACUCAAAUAAUUCGCAGCUUCUCCAAGAUGAUAUCAGUUGAUGAAGCUCUUCAGAUAGUCCUGAGCCAGUCUCAGAAGCUGCCACCUAUAACAGUACCCCUGAAGGAUGCUCUUGGCAAAAUCUUGGCUGAGGAUAUUCAUGCUCCUGACCCUCUUCCUCCAUACCCUGCCUCUGUUAAGGUUUAUUGUUUAUCUUAACAUUGACUAACAUAGAAAAUGCGAAGUGGGAUGUUGUUUAAAUUUGUGGCUCUUGGUUGUGCUUUCAGAUAACAUUUUCUUGUGUGGGUGUUGGUUUUUCAAUGGAAUGUUUUUGGAUGUGGAUUCUUGUUGAACGUGGAAUUUUUAUGGACGAUUGAAAGCAUUAAAAUUUUGAUUAUUCUUUUACCAUGCUUCUUGUUAUCAUACUGAAUUUGCCUAACUGAUACAUCUGCUGGUCAGUUACGUAUUUAUUACUGAGGUCUUUCAUCAAUUUGGUCUCUUUUCACUCCUGAAACGAUUCUGUGUUGGUAUGAUGAAUGUUAAAUAGUUUCAGCCUAGCGUUGAGAGGUCUCAGAAAUAAGGAAGCAGUUUAUCUUCUUAUCGCUUAUGGAAAAUGCAACAUAUGGAAAAUGCAACAUUUAAAGUGUCUUACUUGUAUCUGUCUUACUUGUAUCUGCUUGUAGAAUAAGGACAAAUUUUCUUCACAGGAACGAGGAUAUCAAGUUCUUUGUUCCAGUAAACUUUAUCACAAUAUUUCAUAAUCUUGCUUGUGUGGCUUGAUCAUUCUUAGGAAUGGCAAGUAUGUUUGUGAUCCGAGAUGAGGGUUUACUAUUGUUUUGAGGACUUCAUUAACUGCUUAUUAGGGCAAGGAAAAAAUCAAAAGAAUGAGCUUUUAGCUAUUUAGAGAAGGCUGUAGUAAAGUACCUUACUAUCGUAAUGUUGUAUGUCAGGAUGGAUAUGCAGUAGUUGCCUCAGAUGGUCCUGGUGAAUAUCCUGUAAUCACUGAAUCAAGAGCUGGAAAUGAUGGAUUUGGGGUCACUGUGACCUCUGGAACUGUUGCAUAUGUGACAACAGGAGGCAAGUUCAUUAAAUUUGUAUGUUCCUACUAUUUAGCACUGUCUUUCUUCAGCUUGGACAUUGUGCAAGUUCUUACCUAUAGAGGAUAAACAAUGGUUCUUAAUUGAGUAGUGCAAAAAACUGCAAUGAAUAGAUUGACCUUUUUUGGGCAAAGAGAUGAACUUGAUUAGAUCACGAACUACCUGGAUUGACAUUCAUGUCCAGAAUGUAUGUUUCAUAUAUUGAACUUUGGAUCUCAAUUGAUGCAUUUCUAGUUGUUUCCUCACUGCACCUGUAAAAUAAAAUAUUUUAUGAUUUGAACUUGAACCACGUGAAAGAUAUGGCUUGUUAUCAGCCUUAAUUCGUACUGCAGUCAAAAGCAUAAACAGCUUGACUGUUAGGGAAAGAGUUGGAGCAUACAAUGGUAAAAGCAAAUUUCUUCUGGAUGAGCUAACAUAAGCUUUUCUAUAUUGAUGAAUUUUUUAAUAAUUUGAGUUUCACAUCCAGUUCCCGGGGAGGGGGGGUGAUCCCUACCCUACACCAGGAUUUGUCCUAAAGCAUGUUAGAUUUAAAUCACUGACAAAGGCAGUAAAGUCGAUAAUUUAGGCAUUUUACUGUUUGACCUUGUUGUAAGUUUUCUAUGAUAUUCAAAUAUUAAGAAGUUAGAUAGUUCCUCUGGGAUGUUAACUUUUUCCCUCAUUAUUUCUGCAACAAGUUCUCUAUUCUCUCUAGGUCCAAUACCUGAUGGUGCUGAUGCUGUUGUGCAAGUAGAGGAUACUGAAUUACUAGAAAAUGCUGCAGCUGAACCAAAGAGGGUACGAAUAUUGAAGCAAAUUAACCCUGGAGUUGAUAUUCGUCCAGUGGUAUGUACUUGUUCUGAAUAGCUGCGCGUGUUUGUUAGUUACUUGGUGAUCAAUGAAUUAAAGAAUUCUUUUGUGGAGAUAUUUUGUGUUACAUCGAUUCUCAGACAUCUUUCCUUGUGAUGGCAUUUUCUGCUAUCUGAUAAAACCAGAUGGCCUCAGAAUGAUGACUACUAUCGCUGAAUGGUAGCUUGUCUCUAGAUAGAAAUGCAUGUUGGAUGUUGAUUGUGAUUACUUUCUGGCCAGUAUUAUUUGGAAGUCAAGUUUUGAAGUUCAUGUAAGAUUCCACUUACAGGGAUUCGACAUUACAAAAGGUGAUUUGGUGCUAAAAUCUGGGGAGCAUUUAGAUGCUGCAGAAAUUGGCCUCCUUGCUACUGUGGGUGUAAUGAUGGUGAAGGUAUUUCCUUUUCUUACUUUAAACUCCUGGCUCAUUUGUUUCUUUCGGCUUUAACCUACUUUUCUGCAUCCGUCUUCCUCCCUGUUAUGUGCCUCUGUUUGCUGCAAGGGCUUCUUCUAAUUGCAUGACUCUGAUAUUCCUGUUGUGCAGGUAUAUCCUGCACCAACAAUUGCUGUGCUUUCCACUGGUGAUGAACUUGUGGAGCCAACUGUUGCAUGUUUAACUCGUGGCCAGGUACUUGAAGCUUUUUUGGACAGUUGGAUUCCCAUUAUCUUUUUCUGCUUCUCGUUCUUCUUUACUUGUGCAUUGUCAACUUAUUCAUCUUGUUUUCUUUGGCAUGACUUGGAUGGAAUUUCAAGUUCUUGCAACAUAACUCUUUAAUAUCAUUAUAGUAGAGUGAUAUAGGUGCAAUUAUGGUUGUAGAUAAUCUAAGUUUGACCAGAAUUAAACCCUGAAAUCUAUUAGAGACUGUAUAAUUGCAGAUAAUCUAAGUUUGACCAGAAUCAACCGUGGAAUCUAUUAGAGACCAUACAAUUUAGGAGUUGAUCAAAGCAAACGCAGGCUGAUUGGAAUAACUCCUAGCCAAAAGUUGUAUAUAGUAGAGUGAUAUAGGUGCAAUUAUGGUUGUAGGUAAUCUAAGUUUGACCAGAAUUGAACCCUGAAAUCUAUUGGAGACUGUAAAAUUGCAGAUAAUCUAAGUUUGACCAGAAUCGAACCGUGAAAUCUAUUGGAGACCAUACAAUUUAGGAGUUGAUCAAAGCAAACGCAGGGCUGAUUGGAAUAACUCCUAGCCAAAAGUUGCAUCCAAUUAUUGAAGUCCUAAAGUUGGAAUAGAACCUCAAUUGUAAGGUUCUUUAGGUUGUUACUCACACUUGUGCUCUAUCAUGGCAGUGGGGGUCUUCUUGCCUUUACACCAUCAAGUUUUGUUUUGAGGGAACUGAUUGAAUCUACAACACUGUUUGGUUUGAGUAUUUAACUUGCUUGUCAAUUCUAGAAAAUCAACUUAAAUGCGUUGCCCAACCCUCUCUUUCUUUCUCUCUUGUACUUGCGCUUCCUAUAUGUAUAUGGUGUCUAAAUGUGCAUAUAUUCAUGUCAUCCAUAUCAAUUUGUCUCUCUAAAGGCAGUCAGGUGGGCAUGGAGACUGCGGUCAAAUUUUGGAUGUAGUUAUGAAAAUGAAAUGGUUAAUCCCAAUUAUGCACUGUAAGAUCAAUUGCAUGUUUGAGCUACCAUGUCUUAUCUAAAAUAGAUGUCUCCUAAAGUAAGCAUCUUUGUUAUUCUGUUAGGUUCUCAGAAGAUGCUUAUUUCUUUCUGCAGAUUCGGGACUCCAACCGUGCCAUGGUUAUUGCUGCUGCAUCACAGCAACAGUGCAAAGUAAUUGACCUUGGUAUAGCUUGCGACGAUAAAGCAAAAAUUGAUAGUGCCUUGGAAAGUGCAGUUUCUGCUGGAGCUGACUUAAUUAUAACUAGUGGAGGUGUUUCCAUGGGAGAUAGGGACUAUGUUAAGCCUUUACUUCAAAAGAGAGGAAAGAUAUAUUUUGAUAAGGUAAUGAUGGAAAUCUUCUCAUCCUAUCCUCAUCCUACUUCCGCAUAGGGAUUCUUUAUUCACUCUGCUUUGAAGAGAGUUGCACUAGUGGGUACUAAUUUCUCAUUCAGGUGCGCAUGAAACCGGGAAAACCUCUCACUUUUGCUGAGAUGGUUCAUGGGCCAACUGAUGAUAUGAGAUCCAAUAAGGUCCUUGCUUUUGGGUUGCCUGGAAAUCCCGUGAGUGCUCUUGUCUGUUUCAACCUUUUUGUGAUCCCUGCUAUUCGGCGUCUUUCUGGAUGGGCAAAUCCUCAGCUGCCAAGGUUGCUGAAAGUUGUAAUUGACUUUGUUCUAUUUCUGUUUUGCUUUUCUGUUCUUUAUCUUAUACUUAACAAUAUCUUGAUUUUCUAUUGUUUCAUUUCCUAGUUUUUCUUAAGUGAGGCCGGUAUCUGGAUUGUAAUGUAUGAGUUCUUCCAAUUUUACCAGAGUACAUGCUCGUCUUAAGCAGUCAAUAAAGACAGAUCCAAUACGUCCAGAGUUUCAUCGUGCUAUUAUUAGUUGGGAGUUGGAUAAUGCAAAUGGCUCGCCAGGGUAAUCUGGAAAAGCUCCUGUUAGCCGGAAAUUUAUGUUGAAAGUGAAUAAUUCUAAUUCAUUCAAUAUGCAAGCAUGAUCGUCUUCCCUGGUCACAACAAUGAGCUCUUUUGCAUGACUUUCAGAUUUGCUGCUGACAGCACUGGUACCCAAAUGAGUAGUCGACUAAUGAGUAUGAAGUCAGCAAAUGCUUUACUAGAACUACCUGCAUCUGGCAAAUUGAUGCCUGUCGGCACUUUUGUGUCAGCAAUUGUAAUUUCUGACAUACUGGGUGUUUCCGGCAGUCAGAGCUCUCAAUCCAUGGAGAUUAAAGGUGCUGCAAAAGGAAGUAAAUCCGAAAAAGUAGCUGUUGGUGAAUCAUCUGAAGAUCCUGAGAUUAGAGUGGCUAUCCUCACUGUCAGUGACACUGUUGCAUCAGGGAAGGGUCCUGAUAGGAGGUACUCGUACUGGUGCUUCACAAUUUUGCAUAAGUACUGCAUCUUUGGGUAUAUAGAAAAAAUUUUCCCUGAAAGGGGGGACGGUGGUAAUGUGAUAUAAGCAUAAUAAAAAAAAAAAGAAAAGAUAUAGACACACAUCCUUCAGGGAGGGAGAGGGAGAGGGAGAGGGAGAAGGAGAGAGAUAGAGAGGAAUAAACAAUUCUAGAACUGUGUUUUUUUUCUCUUUCUUUUUAAGUGACUCUGUUGUAGUUUUUUUUUUUUUUGGUUAUGAUUACUUUGAUAUCCUCUUUUGAUUUUUAGUGUGGUUGCUGAAGUAUCCAUCUUCAACUUUUUAUUUCCCUUUAUCAUUAAGACAGUCCAUGUUCAACUUAAGUAUAGUAGGGGAUGCUCUUUCCCAGUCACACUUUUAGAAUGUAGGUCAUGGAUGUAAACUGGGUAGUUUUUUCAUUCCUAGUUACUUCAUCACAUAUGCAAGAUGCUGAUAUCUACAGUGCUUUAUGGACUUGUCAUAAUAAGAAAAUAUAUUGUAGGGAAUCUUUAUGCAUCAAGGUAAUGACUCUUCUUUAAGUAUAACAGAUUCUUAUGCAUUCAAACUCUUUCUCUACCCUUGUUUACCAUCAAAUAAUAUUUCAAUGCUGCAACAUAUUUACUUCCAAGUUGUGUUUGGGGGGGGGGGCCUGGGGACAAUCCAACUCACGUUGAAUAGGAGCUCAAUCUGAUAAUUUGUGGACUUUGAGUUAAGGCAUUCCAACUUGAAAUGUAUGGAGAGCACACAUUAUUGUUUCUCAAACUACUUAUGGAAACAGGAUUCAUGUAUUGCCGUGUCAUUUUCUGUAUGCAGCCUUCAUGAUCAAUAUCUUUUUGCUUUAUGACUUUCUAUUCAUUGAGCUAAUAUUCUCACUUAUGUGCACUAACUUCAGAAAUUUUUUCAUUUUGCUAACCUGAAGGAUCAAGAUACACAUUGACCUCAAUUUUUUUCUUGAAUCAGUCAAAUGACCUCCAAAAGUAAAACAUUGACUAUGAAAAUAAGCAUCAUGAUACACCUUUUUGGAUCAUCAUUCCUGAAAGGUCACUUUGAUGAUGCUAGAGAAAAAGAGCAAAGUUGAUAUUACUCCAAUUCAAAGUGAAAGAUGGACGUACUUUGUUCUUUGCUACAAGUAUAGCAAGUUGCAUUUUGGAUCCAGAGAAAAACCGGUUGCUUCAUGGCAGAAAAAUUCCAAUUCAGACUUGCUUUGGUGGGGCUGAUGCCAUCAAUCAAGGGGACUUGUGGAAUAGAUGUAUCUCAAUAACCAUAUGUGCAAUAGCUGCACAUUUUCUCUUAAUGACCACUGUUAUAUUUGCAGUGGAAUAACAGACUAAACAAAAAGGCCCUGGAUCUGAAAUUGUAAGAAACAUUAAAAAUUUGUUAUUCAGUGUUUGACAUUGAUGAAGAAAAAAAUCAGUGUGAUGUGGUGUGGACGCUAUUUUCUUGGUUGAAACAUGUCCUCCCUGGACUUGAGUUGCAUAUACUUUUGCUCUCUGUGUCUUGGUCUCUAUCUCUAUCUCUGUCUGUCUGUCUGUCUAUUUGUCUAUCUCUCACACACUCUCUCUCUGUCCUUAAUUCUUUCUUGAUCUUCAGGAAUUGUUUGACUUGCAUUCUAACUACAUUGUCCUCAUGUUUAUUCUCUUGUUGAUUCUAUCUGUUGGCUGCCUUAAGAAAUCUUAUUUCGGCAUGACAAAUCUUUACCUAUUCUCAUCUCCUGUGUCUCAUAACCAAGUCUAUGAAGAGUAAGGAAUUUAUUUUGAAAUUCAAUUUUUUCAAUGUAAGUGAAAUGUGAAUUGCUUCCGUCUAUUUUUUGUUUUGGAAAAACUGUAUGUUGGAUUUUGGUAGGGAUCUUUACUAAAGAUCCUUUCUUAUUUAGUGUGGUUGACACAAGUAUCAUGAGACAAAUGGUAAUGUAUUAUUUUGCUGAAAGUACUGCAUUUGCUAAGCAGGAGCAUAGCCUGAUCAGGUUGGGAGCUGCUGUUCACCUACUUUUUAUUUUGGACCAUGCACUUUCUGUUAAUACUUCCUUGCAAAUUCAGUAGUCAAAUUGUUAGAUAAUUAUGUGAUGAAUUCACCUUACAUUUACAUAAGUCCAUUCCCCUUUCCUUUUUUUGUCUUUAACCAUGCAACUCUUGGAUUGCUCAUUGAAAUGUUUGCUGCUUCUCAUUUUGUUUCUUCUGCUAUUCAAUAGUUUACAAAAAUUUAACCUAAUUCUGCAGUGGUCCACGGGCAAUCUCGUUUGUAAAUUCGGCAUCAGAAAAAUUAGGAGGAGCCAGAGUAGCUGCAACUGCUGUUGUUUCAGAUGAUGUGUUGCAGAUCAAGGAUACUUUGCUGUCUUGGAGUGAUGUUGAGAAGAUGGAUCUCAUUCUGACUCUUGGUAAGUGGAUGAAUAACAGUUCGUAGUAGGGAUUGUCAAUUUUGUGAUCCUUUAUGUUGUCAUUAUAUGCAUAUGAAUCUAAUUUACUUUACUCAACUAGUUAUUGUGAUACGGAUAUAUAGGCCAUAUUCUUCCACAUUUUUCCCCUAAGUAAGUUGUCAGUCACGUAACCUUUAGAUGUCAUUUGUUAAGUAACAAAAUUACUAGCAUUUUUGUACACUUAUCAAGUUUUUAGAGUAAUGAUUGUUGUUUUUGUACUUUAGAUUUGUUCAUCAACAGGGUGAUCCUGCAUGUUUUUCGCUCCUUUUAAAUUUGCAUAUUUGAAUUUCACUCAAACCUUGCUCAAGUCAAAGUAAGGCAUUUGAUUUGAUAUGUGAAGUAUGUUUGUUUUGUUUCCUCUCUCUCUCUCUUCUCCUCCCCCUCCCCCCGCGCAAUCUCUCCCUUUAAUUUCCUGCAAUGCCACAUCUACAAUUAGGUGGUACUGGUUUCACUCCAAGAGAUGUCACUCCUGAAGCCACAAAAGUUGUGAUUGAGAAAGAGACACCUGGUCUUCUGUAUGUCAUGAUGCAAGAGAGUCUGAAGGUACAAAUUGCUUUGUAUUUUAAUCUUCUGGACUUGUUAAUUUUCUGAGUGUUGAAUAGUUGAAGAGGUAAAUCAUCUAACGUGGUCAAUGUCAGAAUUGGAUUAAUUCUAAUUUUUGUGCUUGCCAUGAAAUACCACCAUGCAACCUCAGCUAGCCAUGUCAAUUUUCUAUGUACUGAGUUAUCUGUAGAAAAUUUGUUUUGACUAAUUAUGUCUUAGAAAAUGGAAAUUGGAUGCAUCUUGUUAGAGUGGAUUGUACAUUUAUCUUUCUUCUCGUGCUUGGAGAAAUCUUUUCUUACUAGAUCUGCUUUUGUUAAUUGGUCAUUAUAUUUUGAGAAUGAGUGAUAUGAUGAUCUAAUUGUAAGCAGGUGACACCAUUUGCAAUGCUUUCACGCUCUGCAGCUGGGAUUAGAGGAACAACUUUGGUAAGCUAGAAUCUGUGUAUAUUUGAACUGUGAGAUUAGUAAGCAGAUUACUGUCUCCUUGUUUGUGAGCAUUAGGUAAACAACAGAAACAUAAAUAUGUCGCCUUUUAUGAUAGGAUCCACGAAAUAAACCCUCCCUCCCUCUCUGUCUAUCUCGAGCAGGAUAUCAAGCUCCAUUAACUUUGUACUGAUGAGAAAACUGAAAACCUCACUUCUUGGAGGAGCUAUAUGGCCACAAGGAAAUCCACUACUGCAUUAAUGACAAUUUAAGUUAAUGAUAGAAGUUUAAGUAUGUGGAGCAAAUGAGCAUACCGGGAUUGGAUUUUUUUGAAGAGGAAUUUUUUGGAGAUGGCCUGUGGGAGAUCCUCCCAGGAGUAGGUUUUUUCUAGCUUAUGGGAAAGGUUUCAUGGGCAAUAGAAUGUCUAUAUCUUUUAUUUCUUGAUUAAAGAAGCGGAUACACUUAUUUGUUAUUUAAUCAAGCAAAAGAUAUCUAUUUGGCUGUUUCAUAUAUCUAAACUGCAGCAAACUUUCCCAACUCAUAUGGAAAUAGAGAUUUCUUUAGACUCAAAUUAAAGAUACUACUGAUCGACUAUGAAGUGAACAGUUGGUCUUUGGCUUGUACUUGAGGAUUUUUUUGGAGAUUAACCUAGUCUCAUCUCAUUCUACUAUGUGUUGCAGAUCAUUAACAUGCCCGGUAACCCAAACGCGGUGGCUGAAUGCAUGGAGGCUUUGUUGCCUGUCCUAAAGCAUGCAUUGAAGCAGGUAAGGGGGGAUAAGAGAGAGAAGCAUCCUCUCCACGUUCCCCAUGCAGAAGCUGCUCCAUCAGAUACAUGGGAACGUAGUUUUAAGUCAGCUUCCAACAAUGUUCAGCAUUCUGGUUGUUCUUGUUCUCAUUAGUCGUGCCAUGGCAGCCCAAGUUACUCUUGUUUAAAAUGCGCUGUUGAAAACUUUGGAUAGGAAAUUAUGUGGGACGAGUUUUUUUUUUUUUUUAAAUACUAUAGCACUUUUUUGAUAUGAUGUAUACGAGAUAAAAAAUGGUUGAAAAAUAUGGUGAUGAUACAAACAAGUCAAUGUGUAUAAAUAAGGUGUAAAUAAGGUGCAAUCCAAACAAUGCCAAUAAUAUUGUACGUAAAGUCAGUAGAUUUUACAGAAUAUCUAUCUUAGGAAUGAAUAGAUACGGUUGUUGAGUUAGCCAAAAGCAGGGGCGUUCAUAUUUGGGUAGAAACCAAAAAAAAAACCAAUCUAAAUUGGAUUUCGGAAUUCGGUAAUUUGAAUUUCGGGAAAAUCAAUUUAUAUCCAAGCUUUAUAUUUGGUAAAACAGUUUAGAAAUGCCGAAUACAAAAAUAACCAAACCGAUUAGCUAAAAUCAGAAUUUAUAAUCAGUUAAAAUAAUUAAUCGAAAACAAGCCCUUAAUUUAUCCAUGAAUUAAUAACCAAUUAAAAUAAUCAAUCAAGAAUAAGCCCUUAAUUUGUCACAGCUAAAAUUUAUACUUUUUUUUAAUAUAAACCACAAAUAUUAACAUACGUUUUAUGAUUUAUAAUUAAUCCUAUUCGAAUCUAAUUGGACUCUAUUCAAACUAAGUCCGACCUCUUGCAGCGAAACUCUUCUAAUAUUGUCCUCUUUAAUUUUGAAUACAAUACCUUCCACUUAUAUGUCUAAGCCUUUUCACUUGUACUAAUAUCCGUUGAUGCUAAACUUAUGGAUUAUAUUUUUUGAUUUUUUAUAAAAAAUUACUAAACUAAUUUAAUAUAUAUGUAAUAAAAAGGUGAUUAAAAAAUGAGUCUCGAAAAAAAACAAUUUUUGUUUGGAAAUCUGCAAUCCAAACAUUAUACUCUCCUUGCACGGACGUUAGGCAGUGGCACUCGUGCAGUCGUUAAUACUCUGUCUUUGUCACUCUCGGCAUUGAUGCCUGGUACCCGUCAUAAACUAUUGAAACAAGCUUAAAGACCAAAACCCACAGUUCCAGCGGCGGCAUCUGCCCACCCCUCUCCCUCCUUUCCUGGGGCAGCUGGGUUUGAAGCCUCAAAAUCCCUUAUCCACUGCGAGGAGAGGUAGGCAGAAAGCCAGCGAAACCUCUGACGGGCAGCUUUCUUGUCUUCAGUCUUGCCAUUUUUUAACAAGGUUAAUCGUCAACAGCAAUUGUAUCUAUUCCCUGCUUCUUUUGUUUGUUUGUUUCUUUUUUUUUUUUCCAAUUUUCCAUCUGAAUCUAAUUCGAGAAAGUUGUUCUUUCUGGAGGUAAUUAUAUAGGAUUCUUGGUAGCAAAUGUUUUUUUUUUUUUGGGACUUGUAUUGAGUUUUUACCCAGUUGUUCACGAGUAUCAAGGUGAAAAUUGAAGUGGGAUUUGUGUCUUUAGUUUAAUAGGUUGUUUGUCUUCUUGUUUUACUUGAUUGAGAGGACAUCUAUUUGACAGAAGGGAUGUAGAAUCCCCCAUUUAUUGAUCCAAAAACUUUGAUAGCCUAAAGGAGUGCUAUUAAUCUUGAGAAGUAUGCAGCUUUGACAUAUUUCUGUUGUGCUUUCAUCUUUAUCUGUAGAUAAUUUUUGAGGUCCUGCCCUCAUACAUGAAGCAAAGAAAAAAUCUGAGGGAUUCUGUACAGAAAAUGAAAUGGUAAAUGCACAUUUUUGGUGCUCGACAGUGACCUUGUAUAACUGUAAAAAACAUAUUUUUGCACGUAUAAGUAGCCCUGCUUUAGUCAGAAUUCUGUCUGUUUUGUAUGUUGUUUUGUAUUUGUAAAAGACUGUAGUGUAUUAUGAAUAGGAAGUUUACCUAAUCUUGGUAUAUUGACUUUUCCGCGAACACGCAUAUGGUGCUUAAGUUUAAGGAAUUCUUAUCCUUUGUCUGUAUUAGGUCUUUGUGGAAUGCAUUCUUUUGCCAGGCGCUGGGUGUUCUAGGUUCUUGUAGAACAAUUAUUUGGUCCAAUCAUGGCUGCAUCUGUGAAAACUUUAAGCCUUGAAAAGCCUAAUCCUCCUGCUGAAGACUGGAAGAUAGUCUUACCUCGUCGAGGAAACAGAAGAGGCAGUUUCGCAAAACCAUUGAAUCUGAACUACAGAAACCAGGGCAAUCCUGGUCUCCUAUAGAUGAUCAAAGUGAUCCCGAAAGUGAAUCAAAAUUAAUGCAGAAGAUGCUGAGUUAUGUCCAAAAACUUGAGAGUUCCCAGUUCUAUCAAGCCUUCAUAGAUCAAAUCCUAAGUCAUGAAAUGUCUGAUCAUUUGCACAGGGUUUCGGGGUCAGAAGAGAAAUUGCAGAUGGUGAUAUAUGGUAUUGGCAGCAUUGAGUCAUAUGAACCACCUCGAUUACAACUUAGCUUGGCAAUAUUGAUGAAAAGGAAAUUCACGUGGAUAGGGGAAGUAGAGGUGUUUGAUCCGGUUCUUUCUUUAACAGAAUCAAAGGUUUUGUCAGCUUUAGGAUGUUCUGUGCUAUCUUUUAAUGAACAGGGACGGCGACAAGCCUUAAAACCAACACUAUUCUUCAUGCCACACUGUGAGGCAGGAUUGUAUGACAAUCUCCUCCAGGCGAAUUGGGAAGUCAAUAUGUUGAACCAGAUUGUAUUGUUUGGAAAUAGCUUUGAGGCAUAUGAACAAUUCUUGUCAGUCUGCAAGGAUCCAAUUCGUGAGGAAAGACAAAGGCAUAUCAUGGCCAUCAGGAGGUUCACUAAAGAGUUUGCAAUUAAUGCAACAUCAGAUGAUUAUUUUCAGGCUUUCCAUAGUUCUAGUUGGCAUUUUUUCCGCAUCAGUCAUGAUGAAGACUUGCAAAAUUGUUAAACUAUGACAACUUCACGGUGAUUACUAUGGACUUGCUUGAUUGUCUUCACCAGUUAGCCAUUGUUACACAUCGUGGAUAGUAUUGGUCCUCAGCAAUAUAUUGCUUUUUGGCCGUGCUACUUCUUACUCAUCUUUUUAAUUUGUAUACUAACAUCAAUUGUUCAUAUUUCGGGAUUGAUUUCAUAUUUAUUGACCAAUUGACAAGAUUUUGGAAACUUUUGUUGUAAAAAACAUUCGAAGUUCAGUUUGGAGUAAAGGGUCAUAUUAUUCUUAUGGAACAAUGACUAGUUGAGAUCAGCAUCAGAGAUACUGAUAAUCUUAUAGUGUAUUUAAUUUCUCUUAUUUGUGUGGUGUGCAUUGAUAGAAAGAAAUGCACUGGUUUAGAAACGGAAAUAUACUGCUUGGCAGUCUCUGGAAAAUUGAAGUUAUCGAAUCUGUCAAGAAUUAUGAUGUAUCACAGAUAAUUAUCCCACUUGGUAUGGCCAAAUCUCGACUGAGUGAUGGUAACUUUCUGGUCAGUCCUGACGUUGAUUGCUCUUGGGAUUUGUUCUACAGGGGAAGCAUCUAAUGAAUUAUCAUAUUGAAUCAAGAUAGUAGAAUCAUCAUCUUAGGUGCCAAACUGCCGCUGCUUCAGACUUACAGGUUGAACCGUUGAACCACUGGCAUCUUUAGAAGCUCUGGGAAUUGAUCCUCGGCUAGAACUGAUUGUUCAACUCGCAAUGAUUAAAGUAGUUAUGAUGUCAUAGCCUGGUAGAAAUAGAAAUGCAGGCAUUUGUUGGAUAGAAAGAGCCUGGAUCCACUUUUAUUUGCAGUCCAUAGCUGAUUUCAUCCCACAGUUGAUAGAAAGAGUAGGGUUAAUAUAUUAUUAUUUACAGAUGUUAAAAGGGGUUCAUGACCCUCUAAUGCAGUUCACAGGUGGAAUAUUCUUUUCCAAGUAUAGUAUAGCAAAAACAGAAAUUAUUUUUGCAAUGCGAUUUCCUAUCAUUACUCUCCCUUACAAAAUCCAAAACCAUUUAGCAAACUUAUGUUACAAUGUCGAUUAAUGAAAAAGCAAACAAAUGGCAUGAGAACAUCAGUAGCUAAACUAGUGAUAUCUCAUCACUGUGGACCUGGUCUCUUACAAAUAUCCAAGUUCAAUGGCAGCCGGAGGAAGAUGAACAUGGUAGAAUAAGAUAGAGAUCCAUAUUUUGAGCUCUAGUCCACUGGCACAACCAGCCAGUUGGGCACGUUAUCAACUUUUUUGGGCCUCUACCAUCAUUGGUCCACUGAAAGGUUUAACACCAUACAAAUUGUAACAGGAUCCACAGGUUGGGCACACUCCAUCUUCAAAGGUAGUCCAGCCACAGGUUGAGCAGACUUCUUCAUCUUCAAGGUUAGUCCCUGAAAAGCAGCAAAACAUGUCAGCCUCUCCUGAACUUUCUAAUCUUCAAUUAGUCGUGACAGAAUUGAUGAGAUAUGUAGUCACGCCUAAGCAGAGCCACAAUCCCCACCCACAGAGACCAACAGAGAGAGAGAGAGAGAGAGAGAGAGAGAGAGAGAGCUGUAAAAACACAUGUACUGAAUCUAGAAACCAGGUACAUGGCAGCAACUGCAAUUGUUUGCAUGACUUUAACCAGGUUAGAUUAGAUAUCAUUUAAAUGUUCUACUAUACAGCUAAUAUUCUCUACUCAACAUCAUUCAAAUGUUAUAAAAUAGAGCAACUGUCCUCCAAAAUAUUCAUGACUUCUUGUUAAAUUCUGUGUUUCACCAGUAACUCAAAAAUUUCCAUUCAGAAACGUUUCCAAGAAUUAACACCUGAAAGAUAUGCCUGUCGGAACAAGUCAUCCAAGUCACCAACUUCCCUGAAUAAAGAGAGAUUAUCUAUAAAUACAAUAAGCUCAACACAAAAAUGCAGGAACAACAAAGAGAGAAAAAGGUUCUUGGAGAGUUUUUGGGGGAGUGGGGUUUGGACUUUCUCUUGAGAGAGAGAGAACAUUCAGCUAAAAUUUUCAGAGCUAUGCAUUACCAGAUCAAUGUACUUUAUUAGUAAAAUUUACAAA